UUUUUUUUUUUUUUUUAUCUUAUUACAUCAGUUUUACACCUCACACACAUAUAUUUUUUUCUUUUGAUUUCAGUAUGAUUCUUAUGCCUCUAUACGAGUGUUCAUCUAUCUUUCUAUUGAUUUUAUCUUAUGAGAAACAAGUGUGGUUAUAUUUUGAAAAGAUCAAGCUAGUUUGAUUUCAUUACGAUUGUUCAUAUAUCUUAUAGAUAAACUAAUCAAGCAUUUUGAUUUUAAAUCUUAAAUCUUUUAAUUUCACUAUGAUUGUUUAUAGAUCUUAUAGACAUAACCAAAUGUUAUGAGAAUUGUUUUUGGGUAUAUUAGCAUUCAGAUCUUCUUUUAAUUAACAAAAACACGAAACUUUAAAACAAAAAAAAAUUGGAUUUUUGAUAAAUAGCAAACAAAGAUAGCUUUUGAAAAAUACGCGGACAUCGGUUUUUAACGGUUUCUGGUUUAAUUUAUACUUGAAAUGUUAUCUUACCUUUUAGAUACUUGAUAUCAAAUUAUCAUGUUAUAUAUUUAUAUUAGAUGUGAAGGUUAAUUUUGUGGUUUGAUUUUGUGGUAGAAACUUAGAAGAGACCGAAACAAAGAUGGAUAAUGAGAUGAGGAAGCUGUACUCUUGUUUCAUCUGUACCAAUUUGCUUGAUGAAGCAACUGCCCUAAGGAAAUGUCGCCACAUAUGUAAGCUCCUCAAUUCCCUAUAAUGAUAUUGUUUUGAUUCAUUUAGGCUUUUGGAUUUGAAUGGUGCUUAAGUACUUUGGUAUCAUUUGUUUUGUUAUCUUCUGAGUUAUUUUCUUAUUUCUCGAGUCCACUGUUUUAUUGAGUUUUGUCUUAAAACCUUGGUUUGGUCCUUCAACAAAAACAAUAAAACGUUUUCAUAAUUGGAAUUAGUAUAAGUUUAUGGCUUGAAAUUAUUCUAAUUACUAGAAUUAAUUGGUGUGAAUCAUUUGUUUACAUUUCAUAUUUAAUCUUGUUUAUAUCCAAUACUAGAAUCAUUUCUUUUUUGAUAUCUUCGAGUCAAGUUUUUUUAUAUAGCAAACAAAGAUGUUUGUUUUUAAAAAGCGCGGGCAUCGGUUUUUAACAGUUUCUACUUCAAUUUAAAUUUGAAAUGUAAUCUUACCUUUUAAAUACUAAAUAUCAAAUUAUCAUGUUAUAUGUGUAUACUAGAAAACAUUUGUUUCUUAUGUUUAUCUUUAUAUACAUUUAUUUUUCGAUAUCUUCAACUAAAGUUUUUUUUAAUGCGAAAUCUCUUUGUAUAAACAGUGUGCGGGAAAUGCAUUCAUGACUGGCGCUGUUGUCCAAUCUGCUAUGCUGGUCCGGACCUUCUCAUGAGCCUAAGGUAUGCACUAUAUGAACGUAUUUAACAUUUUGUUUUAUAUUACUAGUUCUUUGUUUCUUUGUGCUGUUCUAUUAAAACAUUUGCUACAUUGUUUUAAUAUUAUAUGUUAAUACGAAUGACAGCCAUGAAGAGCCUCUGUUACUAUCAAGGGAAAGGGAGAACAUACCUUCAGCAGAUGAUGAAAAUGUGAAGGCAGAUUCAGAUGUAGAUUGGUACACUGAGGAAUCUGAGACUUCUGAUGAUGAUGAUGAUGAUACAGACUCUGAUAUGGAGGUGGAUGAGCAGGUGGGGUUAGAGGAGUCUGUUCCUGUUGAAACUAGGGAAGAGGAACAUGUUAUGGACAAUGCAAAUCCACCCUUGGGAGUUCAGAAAAUUGAGGAUGCACUAUUGGAUUAUCAUAGGAUUGUGGACAAGGAUGAGGAAGAGAGGGUUAAUUUGGAAAAUGCUGAAAGGCUAUUGGCUUUAAGUGUUGAAAAAGGUAGAAGAAAAAGGCCAAUGGAAGAUGCUUUCCCAUUGCUCAGUUGCUUACCUCCCAGUAAGCGCCUAGCCCCAGAAGCAAAAGAACAGGUUGGCGACGAACACAUCCCGGGGAACCCAGGAUAUGGAGAAGGGAGGACCGGGUGGUUCAAAACCACCAAACCCAGCGGUUAACAAAUGAAAUUUCUAAGUUGGAAUUGUUGAGGACUGGGGAAUAAGGCGAUGGUUGGGUAUUUAUGGGACUUGUGGAAGCUACAUCGGCUAGACCUUUAUAGAAACAAAACAAUCUUCUUCUUUUUUAGAAAAAUUUAAAUGUCAUUUUGUUUAUGAUAAUUUAAUUAUUGUUGAACCUUUUGGUUAUAGUGGCGUUUAGCCCUAUUUUAUAAUUAUAAUGAUUUUAAUGUUUCAAUUUUAUUUGAGAGCAGUCAGUUAAUUGACAUUGAAACUAACUUCAAAGGUAAAAAAAUUAACUUAACCUUUGUCUAUGGUGAUUCGGUUCCAAGGAAUAGGAGACAAGUAUGGGAAAAAUUAACUCGACUUGGAUUAGUUAGGACACACCUUGGUUCCUUAUAAGAGAUUUUAAUGAAGUAAGGGGAAACCAUAAAAAAUGAGGGGGUGUGUUAAGAUAUGCCUCUUCUUUUAUUCUUUUUAAUCAAAUGGUACAUGAUUGUGGACUUCUUUAAUUCCCCCUCCUAGGUGAUUUUUUAAAUCUUGGCAUGGUUGGCAUGAUAAGAAACUUAUUCGCUAUCGGUUAAACAGGACACAUACAAAUGGGGAUUGGCAUGAGCUGUUUAGCCAAUCUUUGUAGGCGAUGAAGUGUAUAAUGGAAGCAACCAAAAGAGAUGUGGUUUUCAUUACAAACCUUUUAGACUUGGUGAAGAUGGUGACUUGUCCAGCGGAGUGUCGAGCUUUUGUAACAUACAAAACCUAGAAGAAAUUCAAAAUGACAAAAUAAAUUUCUCCACUUAUAAACUAAUUCUAGUUUCUCAUCAAGAUAAUGUCAAAAGCGGAUAAUUUUUCACGUAAGAUACGUAAUGAACCGCAACUAAGUAUGUAUGUAAACAAUAAUCCUACAAACUGGCUCAUUUGAUUCAAUUUUAUAUAUAUAGUUGUUGACAAAAAAUAGACUAUGCUAAAGAGAUGGACUCAUGAAAGUAACGACAGAGAGCUAUGAAGUUACUCUGCAAGACCAUAUUUUCUAUUUUUAAGUAUUUUGCGAAUGAGACUUAGAGACCACCUCUUCUUUGCUUGGCUGAAUAUUUUGGAUGAAUAUUUGUGAACCGCUGCUUAGACUUCGCAUCCUCUAGUUAGUCUUGUUGACCAUACGGUUAUUACGACUCUUUAAUUCAAAGUCAUGACGUACACGAACACGAGCAUCACCCCCCAGCCAGGUUGACUCAAUGUUCCUUGGUCUUUAGGGUUAAACAUCUGCUUAUAUAUGUAAUGUAUACACAACCACAAAAAAAAAAACAUAACAUCCUUUGUCGUUGCACUAAUUGAACAUUUUAACAGGCUGCACCGUUAUAUCAAAACAAGCUGCCCAAUACGUGGGAGUGGGGUGUUACAGGAUUACUUGGUUAUAAGAAAACUGAUACAUAAAAUGUUUAGGUACGACAGCUCAAUAAAAUGUUUUAAGCACCAAAAAGGUUUGGAAAAAAGAAUAUCUCUAAAAAAAAAAAAAAAUUAAUAGGAAACAAACGAAAGUAACUUUUGUAUAUAUCACAAUAUGUAACAUGUAAUCUUAUUGUUUAAAUGAUUAGUAAUCUUAAUCUUAACUACCAAAUAGGAAUCAGAGCUAAAAAUACAGAUAGUUUUCAUAACAAUAUAAGUGAAAUCUAAUAACAGUAAAAAUAUGUAAGGGAAAAAAUCUUUAUAAGAAAUGUAAUCAAAAAAUAUCUUUAGGUGGGACAGUUGUUCACAGUCCACACUUUUUACAAUUAAAUUUGAUUUACUUUGACUAUUUUUAAAAUUAUUACCUUAAAAUAAGAGUUCUAAUGGCAAUAAAUAUUUUCAUUUAAUAAUUAAUAAUAACUAAAAUGAGAAAUAAAUCUAAAAAAAUUUCUAGUCAAAUAUAGUUAUUCUAUUUUGUAGUAUAAAAUAAAUAGAUUUACUAGAGAGAUUUUAUUUUUGUUUUCUUGAUUCAGUCAAGUUCUUUAUUUUUUCUUGAUCAUUGAUACAUUAUAUAUUUUGGGGGCAAAGGAAAGAGAUCAUGCAUGUUUAAUUCAUGGUAAUUCUCUUAACGAUCUUAUGAUCUAGCUACACAUAUUUUCUUUCGAAAAAUUUCCAACGGCUUUUGCUCGUAAACUGUGUAUUUGAAAUUAGUCUUAUAUCAAAUAUUAGUGCAAAACCGUCUAAUUAGUAUUGCUAUUUUAAUUGUUUUCUCAUUUAUAUACAUUUUGAAGUCGUUAUGUUUGGUCCAGUAUUAAAUUUGAGUAGAAUAAUGUUGUUAAAAUUUAGAUGAUGAUUUUCUAAAACCCAAUUUUGUUUUCACAUGUUUCUAGUUUCUUACAUUUCAAAACGUUUUGCCUUCAAAGUUGUAACAAAUUUUCAUGCACAAACUCUAUUCAGAGUAAUCUAGGGAUCUAUUUUUUUAACAGAAAUAUUAUCUAUUCAAAUAUCCCUUUAAUUGAUUUGAAUAUUCUUUCUACACUGAGAUUUAUAGAUAAACCAUAUAUGUUUUACUUAGGAGAGAAACUGCUCAAAACAUGUGAAUCAUUAUUCAUGAGUUUAAGAUAAUAAUUAGAAAAUGUGGUCCAAAAAGAAAGAAAGAUAAUAUUUAGAAAUUAGUUAAUCAACUUUUUUUUGUUACAAUAUUUUUAAUUUUUAAUAAUUCAUUUUUAAUAUAUUGUAGAAUAUAAUAUAAGAGACAUCUAAUUCAUUAUGACAAUUGUUGUACAAAGAAUUGGUGCAGAUCGACGGAUCCAGAACGUAAAACAUCAUGAGAAAACUCUUGAAAGUAAAAGCGAUGGAUGUAGAGAAAUAUGAGGUAGAGGGGAUAUUGGAUUAUGCAUUCAACAAUCAACCUCCAUCUUCCCUUACAAUGCUUAUGACUUGAUAGCGUAAAAGAUAAAUCUCGGUUAGUUUUUUAUAUAUAGUUUUGCUUGAUAAUUUAGAUAGAAUUCAUCUUAAAAAAACAUAUAUAUAACAACAGUCCGGUUCAUUACUAAUUCACCAUAAAUGGGGUAUACAUCAACGUAGCGACAAAAUAAAUGCAUUUUAAGCUGAUGAAAGUAAAUUUACAUUCGAUGAAUAUACGACUUUGUUGUCAAAUAGUUAAAUUUGUCAUCAAUUAAUUAUAGAUAAUGCGUUAAAUUGAUGGUAAAAGUUUCCAACAAAUAACAAACAUAUUAAUUUGAUCAUUAAAUUGAUGGUAAUUUAUUUUUAAGUUUUUUUCAAAAUAGCAACAAUUUUGAGAUUAUAAUUGAGGUUUCAGGGUUUAAUAUUUCAACAUCAAUACAUCGUAAAGCUUAUAUCAUUAAUUUAUUAUAAUUACUUCCCUGUUAAUGGGUCUUAAAUUUUCAUCACUAGUGAAUGCCCUAUUAUUGUCUUAAUAAUCAUUAGAGAGAUAUUUAUUAUUUAGUCAUAGCUAUAGUAUUAAUGGUUACAUCGAAAUUGUUUCUUAUGAAAGAAAACUUUUCUAGAUUUGGGUUUCACACUUUUUACUUAAUUUGUCAAUUUAUCUCACUGUCUUCUUAUUUCACAUAAGCAAAAACACAUAAAAAUGUUUCGCACGUAUGAAUAACAAAUAACCAUAAUAGUCCAUAGUUGUGAGCAUACUGUUCCAUGGUAAAAAGCAUCAUUUUACAAAAAGUCAACAAAAGUUAUCUAGAGAAGAUAAUCUAGAUAACAAUAACCAAAGGUUUUAAGAAAAUUUGAAGAUUUAAAAGCUUUAUAUGUAUGUAGUAUAUAUAUCAAAAGAGCCAUACAUGUAAACCUCAAACUUGGUUAUCAUCGGAAUGUUAGUAGUCAUCUCUCAAACCUAGAAAAGGAAACAUACACAAAUCUGAGUAAAGGCUCCAAAAUUAGAUGAUAUGUCAGGAUAAAUGAGUAUUGUACUAAUUCCUUUACUUUUUUCUACUUAUCGAUGUGAUACCUUUAAGUUAGCUUUGUGUAACUUUCGUUUUUAACAGUUUAAGAGAUGGCUACUAAGAUUCUAGUGAUGACCAAGCUGGAAAUUUUACUUAUAUCUAUCUUUUGAUAUAUAUACUACAUAUACAGAGUUUUUAGAUCUUAAUUUGUCUUAAUACGUUUAGUUAAUUAUUCUCUAGGAAAGUACUAUGGUCUUGCUAGUUUUUGGCUUCUUGGGAAUGGAUGCUUUUUAGAAUGGAACAUUAUAGAUUAUAAUGCUUAUUUGUUCCCCCUAAGUGAAAGACCACAUAACGACGUCAUUUUUAAAUUAUAAAUAAGAUCAUAUUAAAUAACCUCUAACUGACCACUAACCUUUACUACUGUGUGGAAGCCCCCUUGACCGAAAGAUUGACAAAAUGCUAACUAUUUUUUCUAUACUAUCAGAUUCAAAUAUUAGAUAAUCUGAUUUAAUAACAAAUAUGCAAGUUUAUAGAGAUAAACUUACAGGAGAUGUCUAACAUUGUGCAAUUAGAACUAUUUAAUGUGUGCAUAUCGUGAUUGCACACAUUAAAGGUAUCCAUCAUGAAUAUGAAAAUAGAAGAGUCAUCUGUAAUGGAUCAUUGAAAGUAUCCAUAAGCAUGAAGAAUGAAAUGUUGCAGAGAAAAUACUGGUGUCUUUGGUGGAUCUAGUAGGAGCAUAAUAAAUUGUGCUUGUAAAAUAGUCUCUAUAACAGUUUUUAUAGUUUGCAUUGAGUAAUAUAUCUUGAUGUUAAAACAAAAAAAAACAUGUAAGACAUUUAUAAAAACUUAACACCACUAGAGCUAUGGAAAAUAUUGCUACUAUAUUAAACAAUAUGUCUUUGCGAUCGAUGGCAGGUUUAACAACUGAGAGAUCCAUGAGGAUUAUAUAUAUAUAUAUAUAUAUAUAUAUAUUAUGCAACAAACUAAUAAUAAUAAAACCAAAUUCUUUUUUCUCUCAUGUAUUAUCUUGAUAGUCUUUCAUGUAUUAUUGUUUCUAACACUAAACGUGGUUACUUACAUUACAUAGUUGCUGAUUUUAGGGGUUCUAACACAAUAAGUAUAUAAAUUUAUGAGCAUAUAUAACGUCCCUAACCAACAAAAAUUGAAGGUAGGACGUAUUUGUGAACUACUAUAUAAAACUCGAUAUAUGUAUUUGAAUUGACAUUUUAGAAGAUUUUAUGGAAUCUAGGAAAUUUAAGAUUGGGAGAUUUAAAGGAGCUUUUAGAUUAUUUUGGUGGAGUUGUAGAUUUUUUGUUUUAUGAAAAAGAAGAUUAGUUUGUCAUUUGGUGAGAUUUUAAGGAAAACGUUUGGGGUGAUUUUGUGAGAUUUGUAGAACAUAAAUAUAAAAAAUUGAGUUUACUCACUUAACUCACAACAGAUAAAUGAAGUCAGAUAAUCACUUUAUCAACACACAAACAAAGCUUCUUAACAAAUCUUGUAUAUUCUCAUGCAAUGUAUCCAACACGUAGACAUAGCUUAAGAUACAUUCAUAAUUAUAAGCUUGAAAUUUUAAAACAUCUUGAGCUGCAAAGCACAAUGGCUGAGAGGACUUAUAAAGAUUAUUAUAUAUUUUCAUUCUAAUUGCAUAUUAAAAGUCCCUUUUAAACCACGAUCGACUCUUCGUAAAAUCGUACCGCUGAUAGAUUUUAUGACACCAAUUUUUUUUUUUUUUGAAUAAUCAAAGAGGUUCUGGGCCGAAUCUCAUACAUCUCCUCAAGCCCAAAACCAAUACAUCUCUUCAGACCCGAAACCAAAACAUGUUAUUUAGUCUUGUCCCAAGAUAUUAUGUAUUAAGCAGCACUAUACAUACACAUGCUCACAUGUCUACAAGUAGAGUUUAACUUGAAAGCUAACUCUGUGAAUUAAGCACAACGAUUUGCUCAUAAGAACUAAAUUCACUUUUUGUGAGAGUUCAUAUCAUUUUUUAAUGGAUAUUUAAGUUUUAAAAGUGGUUAUUUACUAACCAACGCAACUCUCGAGUGUAUGGUUACUUUACUAACACUCUAUUUUCCGACCAAAAUCAGAGAGAAAAAACGUGAAUAAGAAGAGUGAAACACAAGAUCAAAGGUUGGAAAAACUUUGGUGAAAACAAAAGAAACAAAACAAAAAUGCCUAUUUGUUUAUAUAAUAUCUUAGCCUAGAAUAAGAAUGAACACUUUGAUUGUCAUAUCCUACAAAAGAUUUAGUAUAAUACAAAGCUUGAGUGAAAAGUAGAAAUACUUUUAAAAGAAAAUGCUUCUGAAUACGAUUCGAUCAUUAUCUAACUUCACUAUAAGUUACCAUCCCGGAACUACACCGAAUUUACAACAUUUUUCCGACCUACACACUUUUGUUUACGGAACUAAAAUUAUAACACAACACUACUUCGUCAAAGGAAAUCAUAUCAUGUAUGAAGUUUGAAUAAAAAUAAUAAUACUGACAAAAAAAAUAGUCAAAUUUCUUUUAUAUAAGAAUUCCAUAAACUAACAGUUACGAAUAGAGACAGAUAUUUAUAUAUACAUUCCAUAAAUGUCUUUUGUUUGUUAAGCAUUUUUCUUGUGAUAUUUAGAAGAAAACAAAAAGUAAAAAGUGCAAAAAAGGUAAAAUAUGAAGAAAUCUAUAUUUUUUUAGCUGUAUAAAAAAUUCUUUGCUGGAAUAAUUACGUUAUAUUUUACUAAAAAUGAGCAUUGGGUCCAUUGCUCCUUAUCUUGAAUAUAUAGCAUUUUUGAACAAAAUGAUUUAUUACAUUUUAACUUAAAUGGAUAUAUUAUUAAUGCAAUUUAGGCCUACAUUUGUAGGAAAAUUAAAAUAAUAUACCUUUUUGUUAAUUUAGUUAAAAUAUGAGGCAUUUCUAAAAUAAAUAAAAAAGAUUAAAAUUACAAUUUGACACUAUAUAUAUCCUUGUUACAUAUGAGGAUAGACAUAUAGAUUUGUAAGGCAUAGGUGAGUUCUUUUCUUAUCUUGUAGAUUUGUAAGAACUUCUGUUUUUUUUUUCUCAUCUUUUUUUUUUUCCUUUUUUACUGUAUUGCAAUGAUUUAUCUUAUUACAUCAGUUUCGCACCUCACACACAUAUACUUUUCUCUUUUUAUUUCAGUAUGAUUCUUACGUCUAUAUACGAUUGUUCAUCUAUCUUUCUUUUGAUUUCAUCACUAUGAUUGUUCAUAUAUCUUAUAGAUAAACACAUCAAGCUUGUUUGAUUUUAGAGCUUUUAAUUUCACUUUGAUUGUUUAUAGAUCUUAUAGACAUAAUUAAACAAAUCUUAUGAGAGUUUUUUUUUUGGGUAUAUUAGCAUUCAGAUCUUCAAAUAAACAAAAAUAUGAAACUUUAAAACAAAAAACUUUGGAUUUAUGAUACAUAGGAAACAAAGAUGUUGUUUCUAGUAAAGCUCUCGCAACGGUUUUUAACGGUUUCUGGUUUCAUUUAAACUUGAAAUGUUAUCUUACCUUUUCGAUACUAGAUAUCAACUUAUCAUGUUUAUAUGUCAAGGUCAAAUUUUGUGGUUUGAUUUUGUUGUUGUUGUUGUUGUUGGUAGAAACUUAGAAGAGACCGAAACAAAGAUGGAUGAGGACCUGUGUAAGCUGUACUCUUGUGUCAUCUGUACCAAUUUGUUCGAUGAAGCAACUGCCCUAAAGAGAUGUCGCCACAUCUGUAAGCUCCUCAAUUCGCUCUAAUGAUAAGGUUUUGAUUCAUUUAGGCUUUUGGAUCUGAAUGGUGCUUAAGUACUUUGGUAUCACUUGUUUUGUUAUCUUAUUGAGUCCACUGUUUUAUUGAGUUUUGACUUUUAAUCUUGCUUUGGUCCAUCUCAUUUAUAAGCAUUUUAUGGCUUGAAAUUUUUGCUCUUUUUAUAUAGCAAACAAAGAUGUUUGUUUUUAUAAAGCGCACGCAACGGCUUUUAACGGUCUCUGGUUUAAUUUAAAUUUGAAAUGUUAUCUUACCUUUUUAAUACUAAAUAUUAAAUUUUCAUGCUAUACAUUCAUGCUAAAAUCAUUUGUUUCUUAUAUUUUAUCUGAGCUGAUUCAAAGGUAUACAUUUUUUUUUUUUCGAUAUCUUCGACUAAAGUUUUUUUUAAAUAUGAAAUCUUACACAGUUUGCUUCAAUUGCAUUCACGGCAAGAUUGUGGAACAUGACUGGCACUGUUGCCCAAUCUGCUAUGCUGAUUUUGGUCCGGACCCUCUCAUGAGACUUAGGUAUAUUUUCACACUAUGAACAUAUUUAACAUUCUUUUUUUUAUCUUACUAGUUCUUCUUUCUUUUGUGCUACAUUAUAUAUAUAUAUAUAUAUAUAUAUAUAUAUAUAUAUAUAUAUAUUCCCAUUUUUAUGAACAGCCAUGACGACCCUCUUCUAGUAUCAAGGGAAAUGGAGAACAUACCUUCAUCAGAUGAUGAAAAUAUGGAGGUCGAAUCGGAAGACGUUGACGAAAUCUGGGAUAUGAUGGAAUCUGAGACGACUUCUGAUGAAUAUACUGACUCUGAUAUGGAGAUGGAUUCUGAAAGUGACGACUGAGAGCUAUAAAAGUUAUCUUGCAAGACUAUAUUUCCUAUGUUUUGAGUAUUUCGCAAAUGUUAUGUUUUAAAUAAUUGUCAUUUGGAGUCAAACUUUUGUUUUUUUUUCCAGUUGUUUUGAUAGAAUUUUAAUAAAGGAAAUAUAGAAAAAUUGAUGAACUCUAUAUAGUAUAUAAUUCUAUAGUUCAUUUUAAGAGGACCAUUUCAGGAAUGUUUUAUAUAUAUAUAUAUAUAGAUGACACUACUAUAUAUAUAUAUAUAUAUAUAUAUAUAUAUAUAUAUAUAUAUAUAUAUGUAUAUAUAGAUGUGUCUCUAUUCAUGUAUGUUAUCUUAUGGAAUAUUUAUAUUAAAUGCAUUUGACUUUUGUCAGUAUUAUUAUUUAUUCAAACUUCAUAAAUUGAUGAUUAAAUCCCUUUGACUAAUAUAUUUUUGUUGGGAAAUUCUUAAUAACCUUUUUAUGAUAGUUUGACAAAAAAAAAAAAAAAAAUUUUAUGAUACCCUUUUGCAAAACUAUCCUCUUUUUUGCCAUUUUUAUUUUUUCCCUCUUUUAAAUUUUAAUAGUCAUUUUACCCCUAGUUAAAAGAAUAUUUUUUCCCAAAAAAAUUCUGCCAAAAACUUUCCCGCCAAAAUAUUCCCGCAAAAAAAAAAUUUUGUGGGAAAUUUUUGGCUGGAAAAUUUGGCGGGAAAUAUUUCGGAAGAAAUAUUCCUUUUGAAGGAAUAUUUUUUUUGAAGGAAUAUUCUUUUUGAAUGAAUAUUCUUUUUGUUGUAAAGAAUAUUUCUUUCUUCAUCAUGGGUCAUACUAAAGGAAAUAAUUUAGUCAUUUUUUACAUUGAAAAUGGUAUUUUUGAAAAUAGAUAUUCUGAGAGGGUAUUUGUAGAAAAUGGUAUCAUAAAAAGGUUAGUUAUGUAAAUCCUCCAUUUUUGUUUGUAAUAAAUACAAUGAAGUUAAUUUCUUACAAAAACGACAUGUUUAGUUUUAAUCAUAGCUCAGUAAAUGUUUUUAAUACAAGUAAGGUUACUAAUAAAAAUUAUAUUUCAACAUUGUAUCAUUUACUUUAACCUUCUGAUAAUAAGAUAGCAAAAUGAUUUUGUAUUAAUACCUCUCUUUCUUGGACGUAACAAAUGCAUGUGAAGAAGCUCUCUAUUGCACUCGAGUGAUAUCUCUAUUCUUCUGCUUUUCUUCUCAAUAUCUAAGGCCAGACCUGUUGGGAACUGCAGAUAUAUAUAUAUAUAUAUAUAUAUAGUAGCAAAAAUAUUCAUAGCUAAAGUGGUGUUAAGUUUUUCUACUUGUAUUAAAUAUGUUUUUGUCUUAACAUCUAGAUAUAUUAUUUGAUGCAAACUACAAAAACUGGUAUAAAGACGAUUUACUAGGAAAAUUAACUUUGAUCCUAUUAGAUUUACCACAAACGUCUGUUUUUCCUCCAACAUUUCAUUCUCCAUGUUCGUGGAUACCUUCAAUGAUCAACGAUAGAUGACCCUUCCUUUUCUACAAUGUAGUAAGAUUAGUGGCUCAAUUCGAGGUUAUUAUUUUAACAUGCUCUUAUGUAUAAUGAUAAAAAUGACGUCGUUAUGUGGUUUUGCAAUUAGUGGGAACAAAUAAGCAUUAUAAUCCAAAAUUAUGAGCAUAAUGUUACAUUCUAAUAGACAUCCAUUCCCAAAAAGCCAAAAAAAAAGCAAGACCAUAGUACAUUCCUAGAGAAUAAUUAACCAUAGUUAUUAAGACAAUUUCAAGAUAUAUAACCUCUAUAUAUGUUGUACAUAUUAAAAAGGGAUAUAAGUAAACAUCAAACUUGGUCAUCACUAGAUUCUUAGUAACCAUCUCUUAAAAUAUCUAAAGGAACGUACACGAAAUUAAUUUUUAAAGGUACCACAAUGAUAGGUUGAUAAAGGUCAAAGAUGUAGUACAAUACUCAUUUGUCAUGACAUAUCAUCUAAUGUUGGAACCUUAAUUCAGAGUUGUGUAUGUUUCCUUUACUCUAGUUUGAGAGAUGGCUACUAGGAAUCCAGCGUGAACCAAGUUUAAUAUUUACAUAUAUCACUCUUUUUUAUAUAUACUACAUAUAAAGUUUUUAAAUCUUAAAAUUUUCUCAAAAACUUUGGUUAUUAUUUUCUAGGGAAGAUACUAUGCUCUUGCUAUUUGUUGGCUUUUUGGAAACAUAUACCUUUUAGAAUGGAACAGUAUGCUCACAAUUGUGAUUAUUAAUGGGUUUUUUCUUCUCCGUAUGUGCAAAACAUGCAUUUUUGUGUUUUAAGAAAAAACAUAUGUUAUUUCUGCUUUUAAGACAAUGCAUUCACACCAAAUGAGAAGUGAGAUAAAUUAACAAAGUGCAAAACUUGAAAUCCCAAAAAUAGAAAACUUUUCUUUGAUAUGAAGCCAUUUCGAUAUAACCAUUAAUACUAGCUAUAACUAAACAAUGAAUACUUCAAUGAUUGUUGAGCCAAUAAUAGGGCAUUCAUUAGCGAUGAAACUUUACGUCAAAUUCACUGUUACAAUGGAUAAACGAUAUUACCUUACGACGUAUUAAUGAUGAAACUAUAAAUCCUAAAACCUCAAUUAUAAUCUCAAAAUUUUUAUUAUUUGAAAAAAAAAAAAAACUCCCAUCAUUUUAGUAAUUAAAUUUGUAUCAUCAUUAUUUUUUUGGAAAGUUUUACAAAGAAUUUAUUAACGAAUUAAUUAUAAUGAAUUAACGGCAAAUUUAACUAUUUGACAAUAAAGCCGUAUUUACCUCGUAUUUAAAUAUGCAUUUAUGAUGCAUCAAUAACAAACCGGAUUGUUGUUAUAUAUGUGUUUUUCGAAUUUAAGCUAAAUUCAGUCUUUAUUAUCUAGCAAAACUAUAUACUAUAAAAACUAACCGAGAUUUGUCGUUAAUGCUAGCAAGACAUAAGCUUUGUAAGGGAAGAUGGAGGUUGAUUGUUCAAUGUAGUAUCCAGUAUCUUUUUCGCCUUAUAUUUCUCUAAAUCGAUCAUUCUGGACCCAUCGAUCUGCACAAAUUAUUCGUAAAGCAAGUAUUAUAAAGUAUUUCUUAUGUCUCUCAUAUUAUAUUGUAUAAUAUAUAAAAUAAUUAUUAUUCAAGAAAUAUAUUGUAACAUAACAAAAGCUGAUUAACGUGUUAAAAAAAACAAAAGCUGAUUAACAAAUCACUAAUAUUAUCAUUUUUGGACCAAAAUUUCUAAAUAUUAUCUUAAACUCAUGAAUAGUUAUGAAUAGAUUUUGAAGGUUUCUUCUCCCAAAUAAAAAGAUCUACAAAUAUCAAUGUAGAUAAAAGUUUCACAGCAAUAUAAAGAGAUAUGUGAACAGAUAAUAUCUGUGUUCAAAACAAAUAAAAAUUUCAUUGUAGAAAAUAGUCUUAAAUGAGCGUAAAGAGAUAUUCAAAUAGAAGGAUAAAAUUCCAAACUUCGUUACAAGUCAAAGUUGUAUUGUUCUUCUAAAGAUUAUGUUUUGUUAAAACAAUUUUAAGAAAUAAUCCAUCAAACUUUUGAAAAACUAAUUCAUUGGAGAUCUAAAACCACUAUAAAAAUUGUAAUAAUCAAAUAAUAAUUCACAAGAAGUUGUUGCAAAAAAUUACUCUGAAAGGAGUUUGUGCACGAAAAUUUGUUACAUUUUGAAAUACAAAUUCGGGUUUGUGUUUAAAUAUUGGAGCAAACACAAAGACUUAAAAAUAUAUAAAUUUGAAAAAACAAUUAAAAUAGCAUUUGCUAAUUAGACAUUUUUGUGCCAAAAUUUGAUAAAAGACUAAUAUCAAAUACACAGUUUCUGUUGGAAAACUUUCAAAGCAAUUUCAGAUUUCAAAAAAAAGUAUUUGUAGCUAAAUCAUAAGAUCUUUUUUUUUUGGGUCAACAAAUCAUAAGAUCUUUAAGAGAUUAACCAUGAAUUAAACAUGAUCUCUUUCUUCAGCCCCAAAAUAUAAUGAUCAAAGAAAAAUAAAGAACUUAACUGACUUAAAAAAAAAUUCAAGAUCUCUCUAAACCUAUUUAUUUUUAUACAAGAUACAUGAACUAUAUAUAUGUGAUUAGAAAUUCUUUUAGAUUUAUUUAUCUUUUAGUUAUUAUAAAUUAUCAAAUAUAAAUAUUUAUUGCCAUUUGAACACUUAUUUUAAGGUAAUAAUUAAAAAAAUGGUCAAACUAAAUUAAAUUUUAAUGUAAAAAGUGUUGACCGUGGACCAUUGUCCCAUGGACCCACCCAAAGAUAUGUUUUGAUAUAUUUCUUAUAAUGUAAAUGAUUCUUCUCUAUUGUUAUGAAAAUAUGUAUUUGUAUUUUGAACUCUCAUUCCUAUUUAGUAGCUAGGAUGACUAAUCAUUUAAAUAAUAUGAUUACACGAUACUGAAAUGAUCUGACCCGGUUUUUAUUUUUUGAUCCAUCAAUUAAUAAACAUAUACACACUAAAUAACCUACCGAAUUAUUCCAAGAACUAACAUCAUAACAAAAACCAUAACAAAAUAAUUACAACAUUAACAAACAAAGAGAUCAUCCUCCCUCUCAUCGCGAUGAGAUCACGGUCACACUUUUCCGUUACAUGCACCACAAACAAAGAAAUGCGUAAGUAUUACCAAAAAUACUUAGGAGGCAGUCCCCCAUAUAUUAGGCUAAACAACACAAGAGCGUGGAGUUUCUCUUUUAAACGAGCCCGAGGAUUUUUCCAAACCAAAUUGCACAAAUCUAGAAUCAUAAAUCAAACCAAACAACCCAUACUAAAAUCCCAAAUUCUGUUCACGGGUGUUACAAUCCGUCCUCGACUCUCAACACCGACCUUCAGCUAAGGACCUCUGUACACGUCACCACGGCGUACACCUUCCGUAUAAUCCUCUAAGGUCUCCAUCUAGUCAAUAUACUUGUGUCCCAAACAUUAUUUUCUCAACUCAUACACCUCUCCUGCACUCAGUCGUAACACUUGAUUCAUAUCUGCUCACCAUAAUGCCCCCGACAUUUUAAGUUACAUUAUCUUUGAAGUAACAAACCAUUUCUUCGCUCCCAGGAAUCAUCUACCUUUGAUUAAGACCGGCUCACUACCAUACAUUUCGCCUUCAAGGUAUGUUAUCCAUGGAGUCAAAGUUCCCUCUCAGGUCAUCACCCUAAAGCGUGCUCUUGGAUCGUCAUUUGAAGCUAACAUAUGUCCCAGGAGAAAACAAGUCUAAACCUCCCCGAGCAUACUCUUGACCAGAUUUACCUCUCGUGGUUUGCAUAACUGUGACAGUUUUAAUCGCCACGAAUUGUGCCCUUUUCUGACUAUUUAAAUAUCGUCAACUCCCCGAGCAUAUCUCUUGACUAGACCUACCUCCCGUUGUUAGGGUAAAACAAUGCAAUGUCAUACGGACCACCAUAUUCCCCUCUCGAAAUAUCACCAUGACCACCACCAAGCCAUACUCUAAAUAUCAUAUCCCCAAGAGGUGUUUACACAUGCACUCAUAAUAUUUAUAGUCUUAGAAUCGCAUAACCAUUUCUUUUUCGUGACAACAUAUGUGAAAUCCAAGAAAUACUCAUCUUAUUAAUCUCAAAAUGUCAAAAGUGUUACAACCACAGCGAAAAUACAUUAAAAAUACAACAACAUAGCAUAUAUCUAAUUUCUAAAACUGGAACCAAGAAAAGACAAGCUCAAGCCUUCACCUGCUUAUCAAACCAUUUCUUAAACCUUGCAUUCAUCGUCGCCUCUGGCUCCCAAGUCUCCUGCAACACACCAUCACAAUUCCACAUGAUUCUUAUAAAAUGAAUCUUCUUCUAACGAAGUUCCUUUACCUUCCACUCGAGCACCCUCACUUCUCUCCUCUAAAGACAUGUUGUGCUCAAGAUCUACAUGAAUCUUAGCCAUAUGAUGAUUACAAAUGCUAGAUGUGCAUGAAAAACUCUUAAAAUUGCCAAUUUUUGCAACUUUACCCUGCACUUCCAGAAAAUACAAAUAAAUAAUACAAAGUGAGAAAUAAUAUGCAAUAUAACUCGUGUACAUUGAUGUCAAGUUUUUAAAAAUUAACAAAUAAUAGAUCAAACUGAAGGAAUCACGACGAAUUAUCGAAAUCUACCAUUAUAAUAUUGUUAAACUAAGGUAUAUUACCUUAAAACAAUUUAAAAAUACGUGUAACGCUUACAUUGCAUAUAACUUUGUAUAAUUCUUUCUGAAUGUGAAAUGUAAAAUUGCAAAAAUUGACGGUUUUGAAGUUUUUUUACCCAAACCCCCAUUAUUUUAAUGAAAAUGAAUUGUUAUGUUAACGAAAUUUAUUUUUCCGCUAAUUUUUGUGGAUCCGUAAAAGUCAUUUGAAAAGUUUUAAGUAGUAAAAUUAUUGUUUUAAUGGCUUAAUUGUAUAAGUUAAAAACUUAAAGGAAUAAAAAUAUUAUUUAUGAAAUUUUCCCCAAUACUCUAAUGUUUACAACCACCAUUUUGGAUUCACAUAUUCUUUUUUUUUUUUGUCAACAGAUUCACAUAUUCAAAGCAAAUUUUCUGGCCUGUAUUUUUUAUUGUGUGGAUCAUAACUUUCAUAUUAAAAAUUGAAAAGUCUAGAAAAAAAAAUAAAAAUUUCUGUUUGAUUUUAAUAUUUUUUUUUUUUGGGACGAACAUAUGAUUUUAUUCAUUGAAAACAAAGAUAAGGAUCCAAAGAGUACAAAAGCAUUCCUCAAUUCCCUAAACAGAUAGAUAGAAACUUCGAGAAAAGACCCAUAAAAGCUUUGAAACAAACACUUCGGCACAUAUGAGAUCAUGGUUGCUCGAACAGUCACCUUGGAAAGACGUGAUGGAUAACAAAUGAUUGAUUUAAAUAUUUAAAUAUUCGUAAAGUGGCAAUUUUAAAAAUAAAAAAAGUGGCAUAUUUAGAUUCUCUAAUAUUUUAUUAGGCUGUUGACCUCUUUGAAUUUAAGACAACAAUCUAGCUGAUAUGUCGGGACGGCUCUGAUUCCUUCUUUAUUACUUCUUUCUCGAGUGGAGGACAAAAAAAAACCAAACGACAGAGAAAGAGAGAGAGAGAUAGAGAUGGAGAAUCAUACGAACGACCCGACCAUGAAUGUUUCAUCUCUUAAUUGUAUCGAUCUAACCAACGAUGAUCUUCACAACUCAGUUCUGUCCCUUAAACAGGUUCUGUCUUAAAUCUCAAUUUUUUCGAUUUUUUUUGCAUGUGUUUGAUCAUUAGAAAGCAAAACAAGAAAAUAAAGAUUUGAUUUCUUGAUAUGGGUUUAGGCAUGUUUGGAUAGUGGAUUUUUCUAUGUGAUCAAUCAUGGGAUAAACGAAGAGUUCAUGGAAGAUGUAUUUGAGCAGAGCAAGAAGUUUUUUGCUCUUCCUUUAGAUGAGAAGAUGAAGGUGUUGAGAAACGAGAAGCAUAGAGGCUAUACACCUGUUCUUGAUGAGAUUUUAGAUCCUGAGAAUCAAGUCAAUGGUAUUGUUUUGGUGUUAUCUUCUCUGUUCUUGAUUUUAAUGGUGUUUUGUGAUUUGAUUGAUUAAUUUAUAAUAUUUGGAAUUUAUUAGGGGAUCAUAAAGAAGGUUAUUAUAUUGGAAUUGAAGUUCCUAAAGAUGAUCCUCAUUGGGAUAAACCAUUCUAUGGUCCUAACCCUUGGCCUGAUUCUGGUUAGUGUUGUGUUUUUGUUGUUGUGUUGAUUUUGUUGAUGGUACUUUCUUUGAAUAGAUGUUGAUGUUUGUGGUAGAUGUUUUACCCGGUUGGCGAGAAACGAUGGAGAAAUAUCAUCAAGAAGCAUUGUAAGUCUUGUUUUUUGGUUUGGCCUUUUUACUGAAAUUAGUUGGUUUUGUUGAAUAUUUCAUCUAUGUUGUUGUCAAUUUGAAGAAAGAUAUAGGAACAAAAUCAUGGUAUCGAAAGAUUUACGAAAAAGGUUUUCGGUAUGGUUCAGGAGGAUUUCUAAGGCUAUUGCAAGAUUAUUGGCGUUAGCACUCGACUUGGAAGUGGAUUACUUCGAUAAGACGGAGAUGCUUGGAAAGCCGAUUGCAACUAUGCGUUUGUUGCGUUAUCAAGGUAAUGUAUUUUCUUAUGACGGUUAAAGAGCGUUAUAGUUUCUUAAUCUUUGUAUGGUCAUUAUGUUAUACUUACCCCUGCUUCUUUUUUGCCUUUAGGGGUUUCUGAUCCCUCGAAAGGAAUAUAUGCGUGUGGUGCACAUUCUGACUUUGGGAUGAUGACUUUGUUAGCCACAGAUGGUGUAAUGGGUCUCCAGGUAUUAAGCAAAACAGAUUUGCUAUUCAUAUACGUUUUGACAUAACCGGGGUAAUGAGUUAUAUGAGAAAUUGCUAAAUCUUGGGGCAGAUAUGCAAAGAUAAGAACGCGACACCUCAGAAGUGGGAAUAUGUACCGCCGAUUAAAGGGUAUAACGAAGAACCUUCCUAAUUGUUCAUUGGAUGAGUCAUCAUCUUAUGAACUUUAAAUCCUACAUUCCUUUCAAUUUGGUGGGAUUUAUUUGUUGAAUUAUCUGUCUUCAGGGCUUUUAUUGUGAAUCUUGGUGACAUGCUCGAACGUUGGAGCAAUGGAUUUUUCAAGUAAUUAGUUCUAGCUUUACAAAGGAUUGUGAUUUGGAAGUAAAGUUAUCUAGUUGGCAAUUUCUCACAUGCAUAUUGUCCUUACAGAUCGACGUUACAUCGGGUUCUUGGGAACGGUCAGGAACGAUAUUCCGUAAGGCUCUUACUACGCCAAUCUUUGUCUUAUCAUUACAAUCUUUCAGUGUUAUUAAGGAGGUGUUUUAGCUAUAUAUAUACCCUCAAUGCAUGGUUAUAAUAUUCUCAACAGUUUAGUUUUGUGUGUGACAUGUUCAGAACCGAGUCUAGCAAACUAACAUAUAUAACAUCAAUGUCGCAUCUAAUGUUUUCUCAACGCAGAUCCCAUUCUUCGUGGAACCGAAUCAUGACUGUCUUGUGGAGUGUCUCCCAACUUGCAAGUCGGAAAGCAACCUCCCUAAGUAAGACUUCAGCUAGUUUUAUAUGAAAACCUUUGAGUGAUAAGUAGUGUUGUUACUAAUGUUUAUGAUUUUUAUUAGAUAUCCACCGAUCAAAUGUUCGGCGUACCUCACCCAGCGUUACAAGGAAACACAUGCGGAGCUAAGCAUCUACCAUCAAAAAACAUGAAUAAUCGAUCAACAAUAAAAGUAAAAUUAGUAUAAGUUCGUUGUUACUCAAAGCAAAGUCCUCACAGAUAUCAAAAGGUAAGUGAAGUUUACUGUACACUAUAUCCCUUUCAUAGUUAUUGGCAGGGUUACACAUGCUUAUGUCUUGUUUCAAACUUUGUAUCUGUACGAAUUGGAGAAGAAUUUACAGUCUUUGUAACAUUUAGAAUCAAUACUAGCUAGACUUGUUGUCUCAUGGUUUUAUUACAAGAUGUUUUAACUAGACCAAACAAUGUAAAAACUAAUAAGUUUGGUCGCUUCUCGUGUGAUAAUCAUCAAAUUGAAAUAAUCUUGUAUUAACACAAGAUUCGAUAUUCUCAUGUCUCCUUUACCAAUUGGGAAAAGUUUGUCCUUGAGCGAUGAAUAGAAAUCCCAAUUGAUGAUCUCAUAGCUAAUUUUUCAAUUGAAAACAUAGAGAAGUCUCCUUAUUAAGAUAAAGAAAUGAUACAAAGGCUAUUGUAAACAAACAAAAUACUGCUGGUAACCAAAAAAAAAACUGAUGGUAACAGAGAAGAGAAACAAAUUACUGUUUCUCUCUUUAUUAAAAGCUAGUUAAGAGAUGCAACAGUUUCACUAAUUCUAACCGAGCCACUUCGAGAAGUUGUCAAACUCGGUGUAGCAUUGAGACAGGUACAGGAAUAAGAAACCAGUACAGAAAUGGGGACAGAAUACGGAUACGGGAUAGGAUCUCCAAUAAACAUAUAAGAAAAAUAAAUUUAAAUUAUAAAUAUAACUCAACAUUAAAAAAAAUAUUAAUUUGUAAUAAUAUCUUAAAUAACAAUUAAAAUCUAAUUAUUGAAGAAUUUAUUUUUGAAAACCGGAUCAUCUAAUGAAAGGUUCAAAAACUCCAAGAUCCCUGUUAGCCGUUAUAUCACCUUCAUCUCCACCAACAUCCUAGUAUUGUUUGUAUUUUUCAUUUUCUUCAUAAUCAUCAGUAUUAUUUUUAUAGAAGUUGCAGACUUGUGUGGAUGUAAACCAAUUCUUCGGCCCAAUUUGUAGUCAAUUUAUUUCUUUUAAGUGAGUGGAUGAAUGAGUAAGUACUCCAAUUUCUCUCACCACACUAAGAAAAAUUGUCCAAGAAACUUAAAAGCCAAAGUUCUCCAAUUGCGCUCACACUCCUCUUCUUACUUUGACUAUUAAGUUUCUUGACAAACCUAUCUUUUCUUCUUGUGUUUUUUUUUUGAUAAACCCUAUCGGCUGAUCCGGUCAGCCGCGGUAGAAACGCACCGAAGUGCUUCAGAAUGAACUUCUCCCCAAAGGGCCACCACACUGUCUAUCCCGAGUUUGGAAUGCUUUCCGACUAAUGCCAGGGGGUAGUCAGGCCGCCUGCAUUUCUGACUACCAGGUAAACCAAUUGGGCCAAGGCCCAACUGACAGACUUCCCACACAACAAUGACUUUUGUUUCCAGGGUGGAUCGAACCUGGGUUAGUUCCUUCCAACCUUUCCCCAAUUCUCCCUUACCACUGGACCACUGCUGUGCGGGCCUUCUUGUGUUUUUGUGCUGAGCGCAAUUGAAGUACUUACUCAUUCAUCCACUCACCUAGAAGAAAUAGAUUGACUACAAAUUGGGCAUAAGACUUUGUUUACAUCCACAACAAUAUGCGGCUUCUAUUGACAUUGAUUGCGGAAACAAUGGCGUAUUUUUCAUAUUGGCAUUCAUUCAUGUUCGGUAAGCUGCUUGACCAGCACGGUAUGUAUAUAUUCCACCACCUGAAAAUAUAUGUGUUUACUGAUUAGGUUUCGUUAAAAAAAAAUUAAAAUUUUAAAAUUUUAGAAAAAGGGAUUUAACUUAUACUAAAGUAAGUUAUAAAGCUAGGACUUGACUUGCAAGUUAUACAGAUUUUGUUCAAAGCUUACAUAAAAGAAGGUUAACGUCAUAGGACCGGCUCAAUAACAUUAUGGGCUUUAGCCAAAAAAAAACUUUGGACGUUUUAGUUUGAUGUUAUGUGUUUUGUUAUUCACCACAUAAUUUUGUAUACUUUUGUAAAUUUUCAUAGCAAAAGUUUGCAUAUUCUAUAACUUUGUAUGCACCUAUCAGGCGUUGCUCAGUUGAUAAAAGUUGUCACUUAGAGGCGGCAGAGAAGAAGAUAUGGAACUUUUUAUCGACAAAUAUAUGGUACCACACCUAUUUGCUUCAUUUGUGGUGCAUGGUCUCGAUCGUCACACUUUUCGUUUCAUUACAACUCCCGGAUUAAACCACGUGACCCGAUCAAGUACUCUCCCUCAUUGGCCGCACAAAACAAAUCUCGGGUCUCGAUGUUGGGUAAUAUAUUGGGUAAUAUAUAAUUAUAUAUAUUUUUACGUAUUUGAUAGGAAAUUAGAAAUAAUAUAUUUUUACGAUAUUUUUGUAGAAAAAUGGUCAAAAAUGUAGGAAAUGUUCUUUUAGUAUAACUUUUUUUUACUAUAUUUUUACUAUUUAUGAUUUUCUACUGGUGAUAUUCUACUAAUAUUUUUAUAAAAAACGGAAACAAACAACUAUUUGCAACUAAUAUUUUACGCAUAUGUCCGUAGGAAAUCGUUUAUUUACUUGUAGGUAUAGUCAAGAACAAGUAAAACCCAAAGCCAAAGCUAUUAUGUUUUUGUGUUAGUAGUGCUAGCAUCGGAAAAAAGGAACAAACAAAAAAAGCAAGAUUGUACUCAAAAGUAAGAGAAAAGGGAAUAGAUAAUUUCCAGGUAAUGUGGGAGAGAUACUAAAGUGUUAAUAAAGAUCAUUUGACAAGUCUUUCUUUCGUAAACGUACACACAUGCGUAAAAGCUUGACUUGUAUGAUAUAGUAUUACUAUAUUUGUAAGACUUAAUUUUGCAUUGUGAAGAACAUCUAAACGUAGUUUUAUUUGUUGCCAAAGAAAGAUUUAUAAUGAAUUUUAUUAUUUUUCUUCGACAGUUCCAAGAUCCAUGGAUUUGACUAUGUUUUUAUUUUAUUUUGACAAGUUGUCUAGAGAGGUUCGUUCUAAUGGAACUAUACUUGUCCGAAUCCAAAAGAAAAAUAUUCAGUUCUUCUUGUGUACGUUAUUUAAAUUUUCAGAUAAUUUUACAUCAAAAUGUGUAAUUAAAUUUGUAUGAAAUGUUUUAUAUAUAAUGAUCUUGAUAAAUAUAAUAACAAACAAAUUUUAGUUGUUUCUAAGAGCACCUCCACCGGUGAUAAAUGGAAUGUCUUUCCUAAUUUUCAUUAUUAAGUUUAAUACAUUCAUCAAAAAAGAAAAAUAAAAAUGUCUUCCGCCGAGACAUUCAAGAUAUUAUUAAAGAGAUUCUAAACUAUGUGUCACCUUUUCAUUAUUUUUUGUUAGUUUAAUAUUUAAUAAAAUAAAUUAGCCAAAGACACCUUUGAUUGAGUUAUAAGUUGAGAAAGGUCUAAAGGUAUAAACAUUACUACAAGAUAGAGUAAAACCAUCUUUAUUAGGAGGCUCUUAGCCUAAGAUUUUGUUAAGAAAAUAUCUUAUAUAAUCUUUGGAUCUUUUCUUAACAAAAUCUUAGGUUAAGAGCCUCCAAGUGAGUCUAAAAAAAUUUAACACAUUCGUAUAUCUCGAAUCCUAGUCUAAACAUAAUUUAAUGUAUAUAUAUUUUAUGCUCAAAGAAAAGUCCAAGUUUGCUUUCAAGUAAUUAAGUGUGAACAUUAUUAUUAUUAUUAUUAUUUUUGGGUCAAACUAAAAACAACAACAAAAACUUAUGUCCCAAAUCUCUUGAUUUAGAGCAUAAAAUUAUCAUUUCAAUGCAUAUUUAAUCUUGAUUAGCAUACCUGUUUAUGUUACCACUAAAAGCUCAAGGAAUCAAAAACAAUACGUAUAAUUACCUAUACAAAGAUGCAGUGUGAAUUUAUACCCAAACUCAAAUAAAAUUCAAAUUUCAUACCCAAUUAGUACAAAUAGUGCUAAUUUCAUAUUCCACAUUAAUAUAUGCUGACUUAUAUGCCACGUGUCACAUUGAGAUGCUGACUAUGUGUCACAUUCUAAUUUUGUUAUAUUUUUUUGUUAGUUUAAUAUUUAAUAAAAUAAAUUAGCCAAAGACACCUUUGAUUGAGUUAUAAGUUGAGGAAGGUCUAAAAGUAUAAACAUUACUACAAGAUAGAGUAAAACCAUCUUUAUUGGGAGGCUCUUAGCCUAAGAUUUUGUUAAGAAAAUAUCUGAUAUAAUCUUCGGAUCUUUUCUUAACAAAAUCUUAGGAUAAGAGCCUCCAAGUGACUCUAAAAUUUUUUAACACAUUCGUAUAUCUCGAAUCCUAGUCUGAACAUAAUUUAAUGUAUAUAUAUUUUAUGCUCAAAGAAAAGUCCAAGUUUGCUUUCAAGUAAUUAAGUGUGAACAUUAUUAUUAUUAUUAUUUUUGGGUCAAACUAAAAACAACAACAAAAACUUAUGUCCCAAAUCUCUUGAUUUAGAGCAUACAAUAAUUAUAUUUUCAAUGCAUAUUUAAUCUUGAUUAGCAUACAUUUUUAUGUUACCAUUAAAAGCUCAACGAAUCAAUAAAAGUACGUAUAAAAAAGACUUUGCAACCUCGUUAAUUAUGUAUUUAGUUUUGCUUUCUCAUUCUCAUAUCGUUGUUAACAGAGAAUAAUCUCUCUCACUUGCACACGUACCAAAAAAAACUAAACUAAUCUAGUCAUGAUCUAGAUAUAUGUAGCAACCAAUAAAAAAAUGAAAGAAUCAAGAAACGCAUUCAUAAAAAUUACUCAAUCAAGAACAAUCUAAUAUCUAACAAAUCUACAACACUCUCUUUAUUUCCCCUUCUUGUUUCCCAUUACCAAACCAUAAAAGAAACCACUUUUGGUCGUCUUCUUCUUCUUCUCAUCAUCAACUUUAUAAGCAACAGAUCGGCUUUUCGUCAUCCACGAAACCCCUUUUUCUCUUCUCCCGCUGCCUCCUUCCACUACCAAGUAUCGUCGGCCAUCAAGAAGAGGAGAAGGACAAGAAGAGACAGAUGAAGAACAGUAAGAAGAAAGAGAGGAACUAGUUGAUGAUGAAGAGAGAGAUCUUGGUCGUCCACGUGAAGAAGCUGCUUUCAUAAAAAGAGAGAGCUUCUCGUUAAGACAAAGAGAACAAACACCAGGUGAUUGUCUAUGCUUCGGAUGCUUCUUACAAAACACCGCGGUUUUGGUCUUAUCUUGAUGAUCUACCUUGUUCUUGUUACUCAACCCUCGUCUUAUCCCUAGCAAGCUCGUGCUCAAGCUCGCCAUCUAUUUUGAGUGGGUAAGAAGUAAGAAGUAAACAUCAAAAUGUUUAUAUAAUUAUUAGUAAAGAGAGAAUGAUUUGGUCGUGGUCUUGGAUGGUUCAUUGGAGGUUUCUAGUGAUCUUCCGGGAAAGUUUGAAGAAAGGUUUAUUUAUUUUUGUCGACAGGUUCGUGUGGGUCGGGGUAAAGGAGAUUUUUAACGGUUGAGAUGAGUAGAUGAGAUUAAAGUGACGGCUCAGAUUAGAGUUUAACAGGUCAGUUGAAAUGACUAGAAAAUUCCAAGUCUGGUAGGCGCGAGGAGAAAGUCUCAAAAAUUGUGAUCACACACUCAAUAUAUUAAAAUAUGGAAUUUGUAGUAUUUUAUUCUGAGGCAUAUAAAGCCAUAAUGUAUUUUUUGUUGUUGUUAAAGUUAAUUAUGAUGACAUGUUGUGUCGAUCCAAAGAAGUAUGUAUAUUAAAUUAUUAAUACAUUAUACGGGAGAUAAUGAUGAGAAAUGGUUUUUUAUUUUGAUAGAAAAAUAUGAGAAAGUGAACGAAAAUAUUUUUCUUCAUUGGUUUAUCAUUUUGUAGAGAAAGAUAAUAUUAUGAAAUAAUUGCAUUAUAUUAAAAAGAAUCACGCAAAAUUUAAUUUUUUGUUAACCUUUUUGACAAAAUGAUCCCUAAAUUAUGAAAUGUAACAAUGACAUUUAUAAAACAAAAAUAUAGUGGUAUAACCAACAAUAAAAUUUGAAAAUAUGUCAUUAUUACUAAAACUAAAGAUUACAAACAAACAAACUUAAUACAACAUAUCAUAAUGAUUUCUUAAAAUUAAUUUGAAGGUAAAUUUAAUCCAACAUAUGUUAAUAACUUAAUAACUAACUAGUAAACCGCUUGUACACUCGUAAGCUGCUUGAGAUGUGUACAAGGGUACUAGGUGAAGUAAACGUGUAACAAGCAAUUUGAUAUCCUUGUUACUAAUUUUUUUUUGUGUAAAAUCUUUGCUUAUUCACCUUAAUCAUAUAAGUACACAUUUUCAAAUGUUGUAUCAAAUUCAAGUCUUAAAUUAAAAUUUUACUUUUUCUCUAUCAAUAUUUAAGCUGCUCAAUAUACCCUCAUGAAUCUAACUAUGUAACUACAAAAUUUCAAUAUUAACAUUCAAACAAUCUACAAAUCACAACCCUAAGUAAGAAAAAGUUAUGUUAGGAUGUAUAUUACGUAGUUGAUCCACUCCACAUAAUGAUGAAUGCAUAAAAAUGUUAGUGGUUUGCAACGUAGAUAGGGUAGUUAGUGUGAUACAUCAUACAUGUAUAUUAUCGUUUAAAGCAUUGGUUAUGAUUAUAUGUAUAACAUAUGAAAUUCAAGAAGAGAGAUUUAUAUAUACUCCUGGAAUAAAAAUUUCUUAAUAAAAUAUUAAUCUUUGUAACUUUGAAAAAAAGAAAAAUGGCAUGGGUGAGUUUUUAAUGUUGUAAACUCUAAGGUAAGUGUAUGAUCAAUCAUCAUCAUCUUAAGAUAAACGAAGUUUAUUAUUCAUCUACAUCACCAUCUUUAAGGAUCUUAAGUUUUUUUCAUUAAGGUUUAAGGUUUAGAUUUUAAGUGUUAAGGUUUAGAUUUUAUUUUACAAUUAAAACACGUUAUAUGUUGGUUUUGGUUUAUAAAUAAAUAAUUUAGCUUUAUAAAUGAGAAUUAUGGUUUAGGUUUAACAAUCAAGUGAGAUUAUAUAUAGAUAUAUAUAUAUAUAUAUAUAUAUAUAUAUAUAUAUGUUGAAGCUUGGUUUUUGAAAGUUACUAACUCAAGUGAUCAUGGUAAGUGUCAAGUAAAACAUAAGAUGUCGACACAUGCUAUAUUUAGUUUUGUUAAUAUUAAGAUAAAAAUAGUUUUUCAAAACCAUAUUGAAAAAACAUAUGCAAAAUAAUUAUAUUCAAACUUUUUAAUUAAAAAUUAAACUAUUAACCUAAUUUUGGGUUAUGUCGGUUGGGAUUUAUCAACAAUAUUAGGAUUUACGAUUUAACAAGAUUAUAUGUUAGUUUUUGUUUUGUAAAGGACGAUUGAGACAUAGGUUUUACAAUUGUAUAUGGGUUAUAUGUUGAUUUGAGUUUAUAAAUGAGCAUUAUAGUUUAUAUUUUAUAAUUAAAUGAGAUUAUAUGUUGUUUUGGGUUUAUAAGUAGGAUUUAUAUUUUGCAAAUUAAACAAGAUUAUUUAUCCGUUUCGGUUUAUAAAGGAGAAAUAGAAUUUAUAUUUUACAACUAAAUGAGAUUAUGAGUUUAACAAAAUCAAUAUUUUUAUUAAUGAUUGAUUUUAUAAUUUGUUAUAUUUGUUUAAUUUUUAAUUUAUGUAUAAAUGUAAUAUAUCAUGUAUCAUCGAGCAAUUUCAUUAACUAAAACAUGAAGGCAGAUCAAAUGAAUUUUGAAAAUAGUUUUUAGCUUAAAUUAAAGAGAACUAAAGUUCAAUAUAAUUCAUAAUAUAAUGACUUUCAAAAUAGUAUUGUUUAAAGAUGUAUUUUUUUAUAACUCGUAUUUGAAAAAUUUCUUAGUGUUUUUCUCAACGAUUCUAUAAUUUGUUUUUAUUAGCGUUUUAAUAUAAACUUCUUUACAAAUGACUUUAUAUGUAUUUAUAUCACAUUUUAGAUUGAUAAUAGUUUGAAAGAGCUUUACAUCAAAUUUAAUAAUAAUUAAUUAAUUUUCAAAAAUUCAAUAAAUUGCAGAGCCUGAAAAUGAUAUUUAAAAACCUGAAAGUUAAGAAAUGACAAUUUUUAUAAAAUAGUAUAAUCAUGUGUUAGGGGAUAAUUUCUAAAUUAAGUUUUUUUAAUAUUUUAACAAAAUUCUGAAUAAUGGUGAAUAGCUCGCAAAUGUUUUGGUGAUUGACAAUUGAAUAUUACAAGAUUCUUAUAAUUAACGGUUAAUAACAAAUCUUAAGUAUAUAUAUACAUAUAUUACUGUCUUAAGACCAAAAAUAAUCUCUUUCCAAAUUAAAAGUUUUCACUUAUCUUUUUGCUUAAUAUUUAAUAACUAAAACUGUAAGAUACACUUGACGAAAUUAAUUUGUUUCAUAACCAUUGGUGUAAGUAUAGGUUUGAGCCUCUUUGUUGUGGGCGUAGGGAUCAGUCUUUAUAUUUUCUAACGAAAAUAUAGAAAGGAUAAGCGAAAAAGAAGAAUUUUAAGAGAAAUGGAGGACUGCUAUUACAGCUAAAACUGAGGUCAGGGAAGGAUACAUAGAUAGAAUUAGAGUAUUUAGCUCCAUGAAACUAGAAAAGGCUACAGAGAGUUAGUACUUGGUCAUAGAGCACAAGAAACAGUGUUUAAAGGAUUUCUCGCUGAUGGUAGGAUUUCAGCCGUGAAAAAGUCUAAGGUAGGAGACUAGUGGUUCAAGAUAAGCUCCAAGAGUUUGUAAAUGAGUUUUACUUACUCUCGGUGAUCAACCACCAGAAUAUCGUGGAAUAUACUAGGAUGCUGUCUUGAAACAGAGGUACCCCUGCUUGUUAUAUAUAACCAAUUGUUGCAAUGCUAUUGGACAUAUUUGUUUAUUAAUAAUUUUUUCAUUUAUUAAGAAAUUGGAGAAAAACCCAAAAUAUACUUGGUUUAUUUUAUUUUUGGACAUUUAAUACCUGAACUUUUUUGGUUGGAAGAAAACACUUAUUUUAUUUAAUUUUGUUAUAAAAAGUCUUCGCUUAUUUAAAUUUUGGUAUAUUCAUACCUACGAGCUCAAACCAAAAAUAAAAAUCCAGUUUUACCCUUUCAACCAAAAUUAAAUAUUGAUGUUUAACUAAUAUGUCAAUAAUUUUAAUUUUAUUUGAUAAAAGUAAAUUUUAACUCAAAAAGUAAUUUUUAACUAAAAAAUAAUUUUUUUUGAUAUUUUGUUUUACUACUAUUAUUUAUUUAUAAAAUAAAAUCUUAAAAUACAUAGAUUACUUUAGUAUUAUUGGAGAAUAUAAAAUUUGUAAGCAAAACUAAUUUGAAAUAACCUAAAUAGAUUUGUGAUAUUAAUUUGUAAGCAAAACUGAUUUUAAAAUUUUUCAUUAAAUUUUCUUUAAAUUUUUAGAAAAAUUGAAUAGAUUUUCUUUCUAUUUUUAUUUAUUUGUACUUAUAAAUAAAAUAAUAAUAGAAAACAUAAUACCAUUAAAAUUAAUUUUUGAGUUAAAAUUUUAUUUAAAAUUAAAAAUUAAUGCCACAUCAUUUAAACAUUGAUAAUAAAUUCAGAUUGAAAAGGUAAAUUUGGAAUUUUAUUUUUGGUUUGAGAUCGUAGGUAUAAAUUUACCAAAAUUAAAUAAACGAAGAUUUGUUUCGGAUUUUUUCUCUUUAGAAAUCAUGGGAUUGUUAAUUAUCCUUACGUUUCUGAAUUUGUUUAGUCUAGUUUUUAUGAGUUGAUUAUAUUACAUUUUGUACAUUAGUUAAAAUUGUGUAGAUUAAGCUUAUAUCUUAUGUAUUUUGAAAGAUGUAUUAAUGUAAAAUGUCUUUAUUUCAUCAAUAUAUCUUAAAUAUUCUUUCCUUCAAACCAUAUACAAUAAAUGAAGAAAGCUAAUUAAUUUUAGAUUACGGGGGUUAUUGGAAUAUUGAUUUUAAAAGAGUUUGUGGAUUCAAAAGUUUAGAUAUUUAAAGAUUCUCAACAAAAUCGGUAGAUUCUAAAAUACUGUUUACCCAGAUUUUGGGAGUUUAGUAGAUUCUUCAUAUGAUAAGAUUUUACAAAUACUUAUGAUAAGUGCAAUAUUUUGGAAACCAUUUUCCCAAUAACAAUAGAAUUUGAUAGAAUUGGAAAAUCAAUAAAUUCUCAACUUUUUGCAUAACAAAGGAUUUUAAAUAGAAUUACAAAAUACUUAUAACAUAAAUUUUUUUUUAUUGAGAUGGUAAUCUUUUGAAACAAUUUUUUUUUAAAUAAAAAUGGAUCAAUUAGGAACAUAAUAAUAAUAAGUAUUAGUUUAAUUGGAUUCAUAUAUUAUCAAUUGGCUUUUUUUUUUUUUUUUUUUUUUUUUUGUAUAACCCUACGUGUUCCAGACCACACAGUGAUCUGACUAGCCCACUGGGCUUAAACCCGCGAUCAAGGAUUAUUAAACGUCCACUAAAGGGCCCCUUGAAACUGGUGGUCUGGGGUGCUGCAGCCCACAUGUAAAGUCUGCAGUGGCCGGGACUCGAACUCGUGAUGGCGGGUACCCCAGCUGAGGCUCUUUUACCACCAGAGCUAGAGGCCCCGGUUAUAUUAUCAAUUGUUACAAUGUUAGUGUAACAUAUUUGCCUAUUAACCAGUUUUUCAUUUACAAUCAUAUCAUGUAGUUGUUAAUUAUCCUUUCACUUAUAGAUUUCUAUUGUCUAAUUAUCUUGGAUUUGGACAUAUAAUCUUAUAUAAUUGGUUUGUACAAUAUGUUACCUAAUCUUUCUCUCAUAGCAAAUUUUCAUUUAUGGAUUUAUACAGUCGAGUUCUUUUCAAAAUGGAUAUAUUACUUUUUUUUUUUCUUUUACUCAUCAAUGGAUAUAUUACUUUUUUUUUUCUUUUGCUCAUCAAUGGAUAUAUUACCUUGUUUGAGAAGCUUAAUAUGUUACUAAAUUUUCAUCUCGUACCAAAUAUAUUGUUAUGUGUAUCAAUACGGUUUAUCUCUUUAUAACAUUUGAAAAAGUCGUGAUAAAGUAUCUAUUAUGUUACAAUCGUACCAAAAUUUUGUAAGAAUCAUUUAAGACUAAUUAAAUCUAGUAGAUUAAGAUUUUAUCAUGGGGGAAUUUCAAAAAUACCCCUUUUCAUAUAUCUCUUUUUAAAAAUACCCCAUUUUCAAUCUUUUUCAAAAACCCCACUAAAAAUGUUGAAAUUUAUCCAAAUAUAUGUGUAAGCUUAUAAAUAUAUACACAAAUUACCUUUAUAUGUGUAUAAAACUUUAUAUACCUUUCAUAAAUAGCGUAAAAAUAAAUUAUAAAAAGCUUAUAAAAACCUUAUAAAAACCGUAUAAAUCCUUUUAAAAACCUUUUAAAAACCUUAGAAAACUUAUCAAAACGAUUCAAAACUAUUUAAAAUAUUUUAAAAUAUUUGUAUCGAAUCUCCCAGUAGUUGUUAUUAUACAGAAGUACCUUAUAAACUAUAUAAAACUUUAUAAUUUUUUAUAUUUAAAAAGGGGUAUUUUUGAAAAUGGAUAGAUAAAGGGGGUAUUUUUAAAAAGGGGUAGACCAAAAGGGGUAUUUCUCAAAAAUUCUCUUUUUUCAUAUGUAUUUGCAAUCUUCUAAUCACCAAGAACUAAAACAUAUAUAAAUAUAAACUAUAAGAUGAAAUAUGUAAACUAUAAGACAUUGCCUUUGAAAUGUUAGGCCUUGAAUGUUUUGUAGUUUUUGAAAGAGAUUUUGGUAUUUAUUUUUCAAAAACUCAUUUUCAACCAACCAAGAUGAUUACAUGUUGGAUUCCCUAAAAUUGAGUGAAUUUGUCUUUGUUGUAGUCCCUCAUUCAAGAUUUUAGAUCCCAGGUCUCCUAAAAUUAAGAAAAUAUAGUUUUUAUUCUUUCUACAUUAUUUUUUCUCCAAAACAGAAAACCAUUUUUUGGGAUUUUUAAAACAAAGCCUAAUAGAAUCUAAAACUAAAAUUUAAAAUUCAAAAACUAAAAAGAAAAUCCAAAAACUGAAUUAAAAAUCAGCAAUCAUUCAUGGCCGUAGUCAAUAAUAGUAUACAAAUUAUAUAUACAUUAAGAACUGUAAACUUAUAACUUUUUAACAUAAAUCAUUCACAUUAGGAAAUUAAAAUCUAUAAAAAAUAUUUAACUAUUAUAGGCAGAUGUAAAACAUAAUAUUUUCUAGGUGUGCAAAAAAUAAAUACUUUUAACCAAGAAUGCAUAUAAAUCAAUGUUUCUCUACGUUUGUAGAAAGAUGACUCUUAAAUAUGUUCAAUAUAUGCUAACAAAUAGUAUAUAUGUUUUAGUAUAUUUGAAAUUUACUAUUUUUCUCUCUCUAAGAUAUGUAUCAUUGUUUCUGGAUUUUUAAUCUCUAAUACUUUUAAUCUCUAACUAGAUGAUAAUCCGUGCUACCGCACGACUGACGUUUUAUUUUUUAUUUUAAUAAAACUGCAUAAUCUAUAUAAAUAAAUAAAUAUAUAUAACUUUUAAUCGGUUGACCGUGGUUGAACCCGGCUAAAUAGUGAUAUGAUGACCCGGAAGGUAAUCUGGUUCAUAAUCUGGUUUGAGUUUAAAAAACAUUAAUUACAUGUUUUUGAAUUUGACAUGUAUAUUUUUUGUUUGUAUAUCUUUUUGUAACUGAAUAUAUAUAUAUAUAUAUAUAUAUAUAUAUAUAUAUAUAUAUAAAAGAAAUAUGUUUAGAGAGAACUUUAAUAGUGGAAAAUAUAAUUGCAAAAAGGAAAAAUUUUGAGCUAUUGUUAAGACUUUUGAUUUACAAUAAAACAUAAUAUAUUGAUUAGAUAUAUUUAUAUUUGAGUUUUCUGUAUUCGUCAGUUACGUUAUAAUGUUCUUUUAUAUAUAUUUUUGAAUUUUUAAUGUUUAUAAUUUUUUAAACUUUUAAAGUUAAAAAAUUGUAAUAUUUUGGAAAAUUUUAAAAGCUUAUUUUAAAACUUUUAAUACUUAUAAUAUUUUCAGUUUCUUAAAAUUUUUAAUAUUAUAAUAUUUUAAAAGUUUUUAAAAGAUUUAAUUUGCUCAAAUAAAGAACCAUAUUAAACCGAAUAAAACUCUUAAAUUUCGGAUGAUUGAGAAAUCAAACUUCCUGCUCAUUCGUAGUUGGAAGCAUAUUAGUCUAAAUUUUUCUAGCCGAUGUGGGACGUUGUACAUACCAUCUUUUUGUUUUAUCGAUUGAGUAAUAUACAUUCGCUGGGAUCUUAUUGACAACAUAUGAUCAAUCAGAUAGAGGUGAAAAGAGAUUAUUAGUAUUAAUAAUAUAUUAGAUUGAAUCAAGUAGAGAUAUUUUAGGAAAAUCAAAUUACAUAUGGAAAUUAUAUAAUUUGUUGCAGAUAUAUCUGAUUUAUUAUCCAUACCCAGUUAAUGAUCUAAAAUUGAUGUAUUUAAUUUUAUUUCAUUUAAAAACUUUGGUGUAAAUCUAAUGGGUACUUCAGCUUUAAUAGUAUAAAUAUCUUAUGCAUCCUACAUGGUUAUAAGCAUAUCUCUACACAAUAAUAUCUGAACACAAAUUGGGCAAACCAUAUCAUCAUUUGAUAAUCAUAGCGUAUCAUCAACUUUGAGAACAACCGCAUCCGAAAAUGAAAUGAUGUGUAAACAAUAAUUAAGAUUUUUUUCCUCUCAAACUUACUUUAAACAGAUUUGGAAUCCUCUAUAUCUAAAUUUGUGUUUUUCAGUGUAUCUGAAAGCGCAUUCACCUCCGUCGCUAGAUUAUCGACCUCGAACAUCGCCAUGGAUCCCUAUAGUUAUUUUUCUCUUUGAAAUGUCUGUAAUAUUUAUGUCAUACUAAUAUUUGUUUUCAUUAACAUAAUACGAAAAAGAAAAAAAGCAAAUGAUUUCCUUUUAAUUAAAGAGUUAUUUCUAAUUAAUGUAUGUUUAGAAAAAUUAAGAUUGUAAAAAAAAAAAAGGAUACAUCUUGUUUUUUUCUCUCUGUUUUUCCUUUAUAACUCUUUUUUGCUAUUCUAUGAUGAAUUUCAUGUAUAACAAAAAAACAAUAAUACGUUCAUACAAAAAAAAAAAAAUAUAUAUAUAUAUAUAUAUAUUUUAAAAAUAAUAAUAUUACACAAUUUGUGUUGUUCAUUAUGACUUUGGAGCCCCACAUAUCAACUUUCAGGCCCACACUCUACCAACUACAGCCCACAGGGCCCAUACAUGAGCCAAGACCAGUCCUCGUCAAUUUUUUUUUUAUUUUUUUUUUUAGUCGCUUCAGAUCUCAUGAGCUUCUAAUUUCUCUGGCAUCUCCGGUGUGUUCUCAGGUACGACCUCUGAUCUCCGAUCACCAAUUCCACCGUCGCAUCUUCUUCAAUUCAUCCUUGACUCUCCUCUGUAUUACGAAUCAAAAGUACGAGAUCGCUACAUUUUUAGAAUUUUAGUCUCCGAUGUUCUUCGAAUCUCACGUCGUUAGUGUUAUCAUGCUUAGAAAGUUAUACUGCAUUUUUUGUGAUUAUAAUUUGGUUGCGGAGUUGAAAUUGAUCUAGGAUUUGUGAAUUUGUCGGUGUUACGACUUGGUUUGAUGAUGAUUUUGAAUUGCUUCUUCUACUGGUUAGAUUAAAGCUUAGUUCAAGUUUUGGGGAAGAUGCAGCAUACUCCAGUAACGAUAGAGGAUCAGUUGAUAUCGAAAGCUGUAAGGGAAGAAUGUCAAUGGGAAAAUCUCCCAAAGCGACUCCAAUCUAUUCUUGGGUCUAAGGAUGAAUGGCAUAAGAGGUUAGUCUUUGAGUUCUUUGAGUCUACGAUACGAGAAGCUUCUGCAAUGGACAUUUUGUAUGAUUAGGGGAUUGAGUUAGCUAUGUUGGAAUUGAGUUGAUUUGUAGGAGUAUGAUUUUUUUUACUGUUUUGACUCUCGAUGCAGGGUUACUACACAUUGUAUCAAGAAAAGACUCCUGUGGAAUACGUGUUUUGCUUGUAAAGUUUGCAAAGAAGGUGAAUAUUAUGAAGAUAUGAUGCGUUACUUGCGAAAGAAUUUGGCGGUGCGUGUUGAUGGAUAUCUAUUUAAGAGGUUUUUUUUUUUUGUUUUAAUUGCAUUCUAGUGGAGUUUGCAAAUCAUUUUGCUGUAGUUUCUGUGUCAUUUUCCUGUCUUUAUUCCUCAUUUUAUCUCGUAUUUAGUGGCUUUCUCACCACGCAAUUUUUUGACUAACAAGGUUUAUUUAGAUUCUAAAAACCGUACCAUGUGAGAGUUAUUUAAUAAUGUGUUUCAUACUCUGAAAGGUGGCUGUAGGUUUACUUGGUCGAUACAACUUUGUGAACUAGAACGAGAUAUGAGGCUAUAUUUUCUGUUACUGUCAGAGGGUCUAAUCUUAAUUGCUGUUAUCAAUUACCUGCAGCUGUUUCCAUAUCACCUCGCAGAGUAUGUUUGCCGCGUGAUGAGGAUAUCACCUUUCAGAUACUACUGUGACAUGAUAUUUGAAGUCAUGAGAAAUGGUAAAUUGUCGCUUUACUUUAGAGUUCACUUUUCACUUACCCAAAGUGCUAGCCAGCGAUUUUGUCAUCCUCAUUCCUUUUAAUUUGACACAGAGCAACCUUAUGACAGUAUUCCAAACUUCAGUGCGGCAGAUGCUUUCCGGCUUACAGGAAUAGGGAGGAAUGAGUUCAUUGAUAUCAUGAAUAAAUGCAGAUCUAAGGUACAAUUUCGUCUAGAUUCUAUACUUGUUUAUGUGACUGGCAUGUUGUGUAAGUUGUACUCUGCAAAAUUUUCUUUUGCUUUGAUUUCCGAGUGAAGAAUCUUUAUAUAGAUUAAAUACGGGAAUUCAACAUUUACAAACUUUAGAUGGAUUUUUUCUUGUUUUCAUUUUAUGUCACUGUAAUUUUAAGAAAGUUCAGAGCAUUGUAGUGUAUCAUUAUAACUUGGAGCCUAUAAGUGGAUGUAAUUCAACAUCUAUUAUGUCUUAUACUUUCCAUUCAUGUUUUGAGCUUUCCAGAAAAUAAUGUGGAAGCUGAACAAAUCAAUUGCAAAAGACUUCUUACCUACUCAACCUGUGGAUUUCCCUAUUGACCCUUGGUGGGGUGUUUGCCUUGUUAACUUCACCAUAGAAGAGUUUAAGGUAAUCUAAGCUCUCUUUAUCUUUUCAUUUCUUCCUUUCCAAACUAAUUUUACUAGGAUUGAACGAUGGCACUAUCAUCCUACUUGUUCCUUGUCUGAUAACAGAACUGGUUUCCUUGUUCUUUGCAUAGAAACUUUCAGAAGAUGAGAUGGCAACAAUAGAUAAAAUCUGCAAAGAAGAAGCAAAUGCCUAUAUUCUCUUCGAUCCAGAAGUCAUUAAAGGUCUGUACCAGAGGGGAUUGGUAUAUUUUGAUGUCCCAGUCUAUCAGGAUGACCGCUUUAAAGGUGAGUUUUUGUUUGCCAGUAUUUCUUAUCACUUCAUCUCUUCUAUCUCUGCUUACAGUGUACUUCAAGGGUUGAAUAUGUUGAAUUUUUGCUAAGACAUAUUGUCACAUCAGUUGAUUCCAAAAACAGUUUCAUAACCAUCUGUUCAUAUAACUAAAAUUUAUCAUUGUUUAUCAAGACUAUUUCAUGCCACUUUUAUUUACUUGGAAAAAAGCCAGUGAAGCUCCUAGAUAAUAUGUCAGUCUCAUAAGGCUGUUCUUAGAUUCAUGUCAGUCUCAUAUAUAUAUAUAUAUAUAUAUUUUUACUGCGAGACUCAGAUUUCACUUAGAUGCAUGUCCUUUUGCAUUCAUGUUUCAGUUUCAAAGCUUGAAGGGUUCAUUUCUAACAGAGAGCAGUCUUACGAAGAUCCCAUUGAAGAGUAAGGGAACUAUUCUGCCACAUGGAAGCUUAUCUUAUCUUGGUUUUGCUACCCCUGAUAUUAUCUAGGAGUCUAAUAGCUGCAACUACAUUUUGCAGAUUACUCUAUGCAGUUUUUGUAGUUUCAAAUGAGAAUUCAACAGUUGCAGAGCUGGCAUCCACUUUGCAAGCUGACGUAACUCAAUUACAGGCUGCUGCGUCUUUUGUUUGCCGAUUGGGAUGGGCUGUCAAGUUAAUUGAUCCGUCAUCUGUGCUACAUGACAAGAUUGUGCCUGGUUCUCCGCGUGCCAUCCUCAGUGAUGAAGAAGAUGCAUCUCAUGCUGAUGGUGAGGCGGCUCAACAUGGAGAGAAUUUAGGGACAGAAAGCUCAGGAUCACGUUCUAGUCAUGUUCGGGUUGCUUUCAUAGUUGAUGCUAAUAUAACAUCGUAUCUAAUGAUGGGUUCUGUGUCACCAGGUAAACUUUCCUAGUUCUAUUUGAUGUCUAGCUUAUGAGUAACUGUUAUCUUUGAAAGAGGAUCACUUUGUGCAUUAUUCUAAUAUAUUCUAUUCAUGUUCAUGAACGCUAUUGUAGGAUUGAAAUCUCAUGCUGUGACACUCUAUGAAGCGGGAAAACUUGGACAUACUAGUAUCCCAGACCUUUGCCAGGAUCUGAGCACAUUAGAGGGAGCGAAAUUUGAGGGUGAACUGCAAGAAUUUGCAAAUCAUGCCUUUAGUCUCCGUUGUGUCCUGGAAUGUUUGAUAUCUGGUGGAGUUGCUACUGAUACAAUAGUUGAUACGAUGAGCUUAGGAACUUUGAGCAAUGAUGAGGCUGUUAGUCUUCUCGCAGAUGCUAAUUUACCUGAUAAUUCAGGAGAUUCUUUGACCAGCAAAAAUAGCGAGGCUUCCAUGAUUUCUGAUGCCCCUCAAGAGGAACCCUUAUCGACAGAGCGUGUCCCUGAAAGCACUGAGCAUGAAGUAGCUUCCACUACAUCGUCCAUUGAUCCUACUGCCUUGACUGAGAGCUUUAGUUCUAACUUAAACCUUCAGAAUGAUGAAAAACCAAUCUCCAUUGAGGGACCCGACAUCAGUAAAGGAAACAAGAAAAAGAAAUUAUAUCGUGUUGAUAUUCUCCGUUGUGAAAGUCUAGCUUCUCUAACUCCUGCUACUCUAGAUCGUUUGUUUUCCCGUGACUAUGAUAUUGUUGUGUCAAUGAUUCCUCUUCCACUUACGACUGUUCUUCCUGGACCGUCAGGCCCUGUUCAUUUCGGUCCUCCCUCCCAUUCAUCCAUGACGCAGUGGAUGAAACUGGUAUUGUAUUCAACCGUGGGCACUGGGCCUUUGUCGGUUAUCUUAAUGAAAGGGCAGUGUCUGCGGAUGCUUCCUGCUCCACUAGCUGGCUGUGAGAAAGCUCUCAUUUGGUCUUGGGAUGGAUCUUCGGUUGGUGGUUUAGGAAACAAGUUUGAAGGUAACUUGGUCAAGGGAGGUAUUCUGUUGCACUGUUUAAAUUGCCUUCUCAAGUGCUCAGCUGUUCUCGUUCAGCCUCUCAGCAAACAUGAUCUUGAUAGCUCUGGAAGAAUAGUUACUUUAGAUAUACCAUUACCCCUAAAGAACUCUGAUGGUUCCAUUCCUCAUUUCGGCGACGAGCUUGGACUUCCCCUUGAGGAAAAUACAAAGUUAAACUCUCUCUUAACUAAACUGGCAAACAACAUGGAGUUAAAGACAGUUGGUUACAUUCGCCUUUUGAAACUCUUUAAAGCAAAGGAGUCGUCGGAUAACUUUUCUCCGGAUAAUAAUGAGAAGUAUGAAUGGGUUCCUUUAACUGUGGAGUUUGGGUUUCCACUAUUUAGUCCAAAGUUGUGCAACAAUAUCUGCAAAAGAAUCGUCUCGUCACAGUUACUUCAAGCAGAUUCACUCAUCGAACAACACAAUGCAAUGCAAUGCAUAAGGAAAAGGUUGAAAGAUAUAUGUGGACAGUACCAAGCAACAGGUCCAUCAGCUAAACUUCUUUACCAGAAAGAACAAGCAAAGGAGCCUACCCGGAAUAAUAAGCUCAUGAACUACGCAAGUGGAAGGUGGAACCCACUCGUGGACCCUUCCUCACCGAUUUCAGGAGCCACAAGCGAAUUUCAACGGCUCAAACUAGCUAAUCGCCAGCGUUGCCGGACUGAAGUUCUGAGCUUCGAUGGUAGCAUCCUUAGGUUAGUUUCAAUUCCUUUCCAUGUUUCAUGAAUUUGUUUUUUCUUUGCUUGGUUGUUGAGAAGUUUUGGGGGGUGGUCGCAGAUCCUACACCUUGGCACCAGUAUAUGAGGCAGCCACAAGGAGCAUUGAUGAGAAUGCACCUUCAAGUACAGCGAAAGCAGAUGCUGAUGAAGCAGAUAGCCGAGAAGUGAUUCUUCCAGGACUAAAUCUUCUCUAUGAUGGUUCAGAGUUGCACCCUUUUGAUAUUGGCGCUUGCCUUCAAGCUCGUCAACCAGUUGCUCUCAUAGCAGAAGCUGCUGCUGCGUCUGCAUCCCUCGCCCCAAAGUAGACUAGUACUCAAAAAAGAUUCUAAACCAGAUUUCAUUCGACUUUAAGGAAAAGGUAAAUGUUGAAUUUGGUUUUGGUUUAAGUUUGCCGACUAAAACGAAUGACAAAAGAUCUAACUCCGCUACAUGUAUUUGAUUGCAGGUCGGGUUUUUGUUUGUUUGUUUUACAUCCGCCGCGACCAUCAGACCAUACUGAUGUUGCUUACUAGCAAUGCAGUAGGAAUUAUACGAUAUAAAUAUUUGGCUAACGAGCGAUAUUGAAUGUAUCCUUAUACCCAUUUGUAUGCUUCGCUUGAAUCUUUUUUUUGAAGACUGUAGUGUCAAGGAAGCUGUGGUUUAUAGAGGAUGUUAUAGAGUUUUGGGUUGGGAUGAAAAGUGUGUUGCACAGAUUUUAUAUCAAUUUGUUCCACAAUUGAUUUGCCCGGUUAUUAGAUGAAAGUCUUUUUUUCCUAAUAACAAAUUAGAUUUUCAAAUUUCAACACAAAAAAAAAAAAAAAAUCUCUUUUGGCUACGUGUAUGUGUUUACAUCAUUAUGAUCUUAACAUCAUUUGCUAAAAUUUUAUCAAAGAUGUAAUUAAUAGUAAUUACAAAAUCAAUAUAUUAAAAUUUAAAAAUCAUUAGAACUCUCAUAAAUUAAACUCACAUUGAGAAAAUACCACAUUACUAUAAUUCAUAUUAAAAAAAUAUUAAAACUACAUCUUCUAAUAUUUUCGACCUAUAAUAAAGUUUUAAUAUUUCCUCCACAAAAAUCAUUACCAUAAUAGAAUUUCAUGUCUUUUGACUAUUUUCCCUUAAUUUGUAGUGAAAUUAAUGGCUAGGCAAGAUUUAUUAAAAUAUAAAUUUGGCUGAUGAUAGCAAUCUCCAUGAGCUAUAGACGUGUAACUAGGAUUACCCUGUACUUUUAUCCCUGUCUAAUUUAGCAUAUACUAUAUAUAAACUUCUUAAUAUUACUUAAAUCAAUAAUAAUCUCCCUAGUUAGAAAAUUCUUUAUUUUUUUUUUAUUUUUUUUUGAAUAAUCAAAAAGGUUAUGGGCGGAAGCCCAUAAAUCUGAAAUAUACUAGAUCACUUCUCAUGGCCACUAUAGAUUAGUAUAGAACCGAGCUUCAUGUCUUUUUACUUUACAUACACAUAAUACUAACAUGCACACAGAAACAUGUACUAUAUGUUACGUAAAUGAAGAAGAUCUCAUGGAGCUAUAUAUGUGUAAAUUUGUUACUGAAAUUAGAGAGAUGAUGCCCAGAAGGUGGUGGGCUAGUGGUAGGGGAGCUUAGGAGGAAGGGUGCAACUCCCAGGUUGUCUCCACUUUGCUGUUAACACCAUUUUUCUUGGAAGUCUGUCAGUUGGGCUUAGGUCCAAUUGGUUUACCUGAUAAUCAGAAAUGUAGGCGGUCUAAUUCCCCUCGGGCAUUAGUCGGAAAGCGUUAAUCUGGAUUCAGACGAUGUGGUAGCCCAACACCUAGGUAUUGGCGACGAGUCCACAUUGUAGCACCUCGGUGUGAUCCUCCCAGAGCUGACCGGAUCAGCCGAUCGGGUUUAUCACAAAAAAAAAAAAAAAAAUUAGAGAGAUGGACCUUGUGCUUCCUUUCAGUUCGAGACAUGCGAAAGGCUUGAAGGCUUUUGCGCUUCGAAAAGGCAAGAUAUUAAGUGGUCGCCUCCACGAACAUAUGGAACAACCACAUGCAUAUUUGGAGCUGUCUUGCCUGUAGUUUGAAACAUUGCCAAACAAGUUUUUUGUUUGGUUUGUGAAUAUUGGUUUCACUAUAUAUAUAGAGGAUUACAGAUGAAUAUUUGGAUGCAAAAUGCAUUUAUUGUAAAACAGUUUUCUUGGUGAAUAAAUUUUACAUGAAAAGUACUUGGGUUUACCCCUAGGGAUGAACUACUCUUGUUCACCCCCUCUUAGUUAACCAAUCAAAAUACAACAAUAUGCCAUGUUAAUUUUUUAUCUAAAAAUGUAAAUCAAAAUUAGAAUAAAAAAUAAAACAAAUUCUGAAAGAUUUUUAUUAAGAAAAUAUAUUUCGGUUUGGGUUUAUAAAAAAGUGGUUAGAGUUUAGAUUUUGUCAUCAAACGGAAUUAUAUUUCGGUUUGGGUUGACAAAAUAAUGGUUAGAGUCUAGAUUUUGUAAUUCAACGAAAUUAUAUUUUGGCUUGGGUUGACAAAAUAGUGGUUAGGGUUUAGAUUUUGUAAUUAGACAAAAUUAUAAUUCGGUUUGGGUUAAUAAAAUAGUUUUUAGUGUUUAGAUUUUAUAAAUAAACGAAAUUAUAUUUUCGGUUUGGGUUUAUAAAAGAGUGGUUAAGGUUUAUUUUAUUUUUGAUUUAUUUUUUAAAUAUAAUAAGACAUGACAUAUUGUUGUAUUUUGAUUGGCUAAUCCGGUGAAUAAGUCCUAGUGGUGAACCCAAGUAUUUGCCCAUUUUACAUUCAUGAAAAACAAUUCCCUAAUAACACUAAACUAAAAUCUGUAUAACGUCAUUUAGACCACUAUUUUCGUAAUAAGAAACAUAAUUAUUUAAUUACACGUAAGUUUAUAUCGCCUCUAGGUACGUAGAAAAUGAUAAGCCAUUCCAUUGGGUAAAACACUAUCUUCACAACAUCACGUUUGAAUUUUAGUUUUGUUAGUCUUUUCGUUUAAAUUUUACAAAUCAUAACUUACUAACUUUUGUUUUGCUUAGAUCGGAUGAUUGCUUUAGUGUUUUGUUCUUUUUUUCUCGUGGAUUCACAACUUUGUAUGCUACUCAAUAAUAUAACAAUAUACUAUGUGGUAGAGACUAGAGAGUGAAUAAAAUUGUAACAUUUUACUCGUAUCACUCAGUAGGAGGAAUCCUCGCGUGUGAAACAAUCGUAAUCAGACACGUUCUUAGCUAAUCAGACAAUCUUAUAAAUGAAACAUGAUUCAGAUUGAGACAUUGCUGAAAAUAAUUUGGAGCAACGAAUAAUUCAUGCUAGAAAAUAAUUUCCACAUGUUCAUUAAUGAGCAACGAAUAGUUAUAUAUAAAGUACUCAAUAGUAGUUUUGAUUGCAGCAACGAAUAGUCAUAUAUAUAGUACUCAAUAGUAGUUUUGAUUGGAGCAACGAAUAAUUCGGAAUAAAUUCCAAAUUUCACAAGGCAGACUUAGGUAUAUGGUAUUCAAAUUUCAGAUAGUACCACUAAUCACUUUAGUGAACUACAUAAUCUACGGAGCCAACUGAUUUGAAAAUAGCACGUUCAUCUCGCUUUUUUGUUCAUUUUGGCCUAGUAGAGUCGGAAACUCGGAGCCUAUCACAGAAAAGCUACCCGGGGUCCUCUCAAGCGCCGAGCAAUUCGCGAUGAAAAAAGUAGUCCUUCUUGCCGGAGCUGAAAUAGCCGGGUGCAUGUGAAGAGGUUUUAUUUGUGUUUUGAAAUCAUAGUUUAAUAUAAAUGGUUUGAAAUAUAGUCUAAUAUAAUUUAUAGAUUAUUAUCCUCCUAAGAUCAAGUGACUAUUCAAUUCUUGAAAACUAAAUAUCAAACAUUGUAGUAUCAUUUUUAAUCUCUCGAUAGUAGUUGUCUCAAGAUAAUAUCACACCAUUAUGCAGCAUGAGCUUACACACUCUGAUAUAUAAAACAUAAGACUGUGGGAAAGAGUUAAUUAGUAUCAUCUUCUUGGCGUUGGAAGUGAACAAAGUUUGAUCGUAUAUCAGAUGGAAUACGAGUAACGCGGUACUUGUUGUCAAGCCAGACACCAGUUCCUUUUGCCUCCAAAAUAGGCUGCUUUGUUCAUCACACACCAAAACAAUCCUAAUUAGAUCUCACAAGUAAUAAACCAACACAAAGGCUUGACGGGAGCAACAAAACUAACCUCUUGAUUUGGAAGUUUAUAAAUGAAAUGUUCAAAGUAAACGCGCGCAAUAGUUACUCCCGUUAUCCUCGAUUUCACCACGAAUUUGCAUCCACUCUGCUCAGAGAAAUCAAUUAGUCAAAUAUACAAAACUUUUGAGACUAUAAAUUAAAAUGUAACAAGUUUUAGGAAAAGAGUGGUCAAAGUUACACGUAAAGGUGCAAGGAACUUUAUUGUCAACUCAGAAAUUGCCAAGGCUUCACCAGAACGAGCUAUUUCUUCACAACUAAUACCGAUACUUUCCAAAAACUCGUGUCGACCUUAGUAAGAAAACAAGUUGUACAAAACAUAUUUGGUGAGAACUGUAUGUAGGUUAUAAGUCUUAGACCGUCAUUAUUAAUGGUCUCUUAACAAAUGUUAGAGCUAAGAUUUGUUAGAGAGACUCUUAUAUAAGAGCCAUUUAUUAGCAAAUCUUAUCCUUAAUAGUAUAACCACGCAGUAGUCUCUAACUCGACUCCAUAUCUGAGACAGCGACGAAAGUUAACUUACUAUGUUGGCAGUAGUUUGCGUAAACAGCAUUGUUCACAACACCAAAUUGAUCCAGUUCAUAAUCGCGAACUUUAAGUUCAAUCUCAUGGAACCCAUUCAUUCUGCCAUAUGGAAAUUUAAUAAGUUUAUAUAAAUAUGAAAUAUAUCAAAUCACUCCCUCUUGGCCACGGUAGAAAUGUUAAGUAUACAUAAGAGACAUUUGAUUUAUUACAUAGUUAGAGAAGAGGAUAGCAUGGAGCUAUAAAUUUGUGAAAACAUUAACUUUGAUGAUUUCAUGGUGUUUCAUAUUCAUAUUCAUAUUGUGCUUUAAAACUAAAAAAAAAUAAUGAUAAGUAAAACCUACAAAAGAAAUAAAUUAAUGUUUGAACAUAAUUUGAAAAAACUAUCGCAUGGCCUUAUAUUUUUGAAUUAACCUUAGGCUUCUUUACGCGUAAAUUGUGGUCUGAAGCAAAAAAAAAACCUUUUUUCCUGUUUUUAUAAUUUAAAGUACUAAGAAAAUAGUAUAGUUUUAACAAAAAACCCAACCAAGAAAUAAACAAUAAAAUAGCAAAACUUUGAGGGAAAAAACUAAUUAGUCUCCUUAAAUAUAAGUCUCCUUAUAAAAAAUAUAAACUACUCAUUUUUUUUUUUUUUUCCUUUUUUGUUGAUGUUUAGAAUUCUAAUCUUUAAAAAAGAAAAAAAAUCAUAAAGAAAUAUCACAUAUGAUAAAAUCAUAAAAGAAAGAUAAAAGAAAGGUCAAAAUAUUCUCACACAAACCAUUUUCUUCGUUAAAAGAACUAUGCAAGUCCAAAUACUAUAUAUAUCAAAACCCGUUACACACAGUAUCAUAGCAAAACUGUGGCCUCAUAAAAGUUUAAAAUCUAGGGCAAGCGGCAUGAGUAUGGACUGAGUAUAUAGUAGUUAAUAAACCGAUGUUAAAUAUUUGCAUAAGUAUUCCAAGUAUCAUUUCUAUAAGUGAUGUAAUAUUCCUUUGUAUCACAUAUAAUUAAUGCAAAUUAAAGAUGCAAAAUAAAUGAUACAAUCAACUCAUUUAUGUAUAUCUACAAACUUUAAGGAUUACACUACAAGAAAACAUAUCGAUUUUCGACCACCAUUUCCGACCAAAAUAAUAGUCGGAAAUUUUCCGACAAAUUUCCAACCAUUUUCCCACUAAUGUAUAGGUUUUGGCUUAUAAAUUAAAAUUAGAUAUAUAUGUACCCUUUGCAUCCUUUUAGUUCGAGGCAUGAGAGAGGCUUGAAGGUUUUUGCACUUCGAAAAGGCAAGCUAGGUGGUCGUCUCCACGAACAUGGAAACACCAAAUGAGUAUUUGGAGCCGUCAUGCUGGUAGCUUGAAACAUUAUUGCACUAUUUUGGAAUGAGGAUACCCUAGCGUGAUGAGUACGUAGUUGACAACUUUUUUUUUUUUUUUUUUUUUUGUAGUUGACAACUUUUUAGUUUGGUAUAUAUAGAAGAAUACAGAUGUAUUUAACAUGUUUACGUAACUUACAGUAUCUUCUAGAGUACAGUAUAUAAAAACAAUCAGUCUACGAGUACAGUAUCUUGGUCCAUCAUGAUAGGUAACCAAGAUGGUUUGUGUUAGGGUCAUCGACGAAUAAAAAUUGAUCAAUUUAUUUGUUUGUUUAAGGGCGAUUAGGGUUUAAGGGUUUGGAUUUCUGAAACACCCUAACCCGGAAACUAAAAAUUCAUCGGAGAAAACAUUCCGACGAGACUUCCGGCGAGAAAUCAACUUAAUAAAAACAUACUUAAAAACAUGCGUAAACCAUUUUAAACACAUUUAUAACGAACAUAACUCCAUACAAUCAACAAUAAGAACACAUUUACCUCCAUGUGUACCUUAUCGAAUCGGAGUCUCUGAAUCGCACAUCAUCCAUCCGUAUCAACCUUGCUAAUGAUCCAGCCUUCAUGACUCCAUUCUCGCAUCACCGAACACGUCUCCUUCAUUCAUCGCUCACCAUCCCUUAUUGUUUCUUAGUCACACAACCAACCAUCCCCAAGUGACCGAGUAACAAUAAGAGAUGGGCUGGAUGCUUGAUCCGUCCAGCCGCGGACAUUCUUCUCCGCCAAUUGCUACGUUCGACCCUUGGUCGCCAAUCAUCAGUCAUUCUCGAUCCGAUCAUACACGCUUCAACCAUCCUUCGAUUAUUACACCGGCACACUAGCUGUAUCGCGUGAUAUCGCAAUAGGAUUCCCAUCCGAACAUACAUAUCGCCAGAUAGCCCAUCUAACGAUUCUUAAUAACGAUCUUUCGGCCACCGACGUACACACUCUCGAUACCAUUAAUCUCCCUCGAGUACUCUCGAUAAGACAUACUUAGAAACCUGUUCCUCGAUUUCUCCAUAGAACAUCUUCGAUCGUCCAUCACCUCUCGAUGCGAUCCGUUUAUACCUCGAUCGUUUCGCCCACCGAGACUAUUUCAUACGUUUCCACCGGAUUCUUCAUCCGCAAUAAUCGUCGAUCUCGAUCCAAGAAUACAAGAUCUCGAUCCUCAUAAAAUACUCUCGAUAACUCUCACUCUUUUUCUCUUCUUUCUCGAUCUCUUCCUUGACGGCGCUCAAAACGCACAAUAACGAAUGAUAAACCCUAGUUCCAUCGAGCCAUCUUUUAUACUCUCGAGUAAACAGCCGAUCCUCCGAUAUUCUCUCGAGAAUAUUCGCAUAUCCCAACACUUAGUCGAUAAACUCGACUUAAUAUCCUUUAUUCGCACCCACACUCGCAGGCCACGAGUUUGGGCCGAUAGAAAGCCCACGGACUAGCACUUUAUCGAUAGCCACUCGACCAAUUCUGUCCGGACAUCGAUAGCUUCCGACAACCAUCCGAAAAUUCGGCAUUCUAGAUAAGCUUCCGACAAAACAUGUCCGAAAGACACUCUUGUCCGAACCAACCGAACAAUACAUCGAUCCUCACCGAAUAUUCGGAUUUCCAUCCGCUAAUACCGAUCCUUAUCGAUAAACCUUCGAUCACAUCUAACAUUUUCUCGAUCAUGGAAAAAUCCUUCGAUAAACUUACACAUAUACUCGACAAUAGGCUUCCGGAUACCAUCCAAGAAAAGCCGGAGACGGGCGUUACAAUUUCCCUCUACGAGUGAAUUCUAGGAUUCAUUUCUAUUCUUUAUAAGCAAUUAGAAUUUGACACCUGAUCAGUUAAAUUAAAAUUAUUUAUCUGUAUAACAAAGAUUAACAUAAAUCGUUAAAUUAAAUCAUAUAACAAUAUAUCCAGGAAAAUACUUAGGUUCAUCCAGGAAAAAUACAACAAUAUGCCAUAUCUUUUUCUUUUUUAAAAAAAUAAAUCAAAAUUGAAAUCAGAAAAAUAAAACAAAUUACGGAAACAAAUUAUGCAAGAUAUUUUACUAAGGAAAUUAUAUUUCAGUUUGGGUUAAUACAAGAGUGGUUAGAGUUUAUAAUUAUAUUUCGGUUUGGGUUCAUAGAAUAUUAAGGUUUGUUUCAGUUUCUGAUUUUGAUUUUGAUUUCUUUUUUUAAAUAUAAUAUGACAUGUCAUAUAGUUAUAUUUUGAUUGAUUAAUUAAGAGGGGGUGAAUAAGAGAGAUUCACCCCUAAGGGUGAACCAAAGUAUUACUUAUCCAGAGUCUAUAUAUCCGUUUUGAUAUAUAAGAAAGAGACAAUGUUUUUUUUUGUGACAAUUAUAAACGAAACAAUUAUAUCGGUUUGGGCUUAUAAGAGAAUAUUAUGGUUUAUAAAUUACAUUUAAACGAGAUUAUAUAUCGGUUUAAGGUUACAUGUUGAUUUUGGUUCAUUAAAAAUGGUUAGGUUUUAGAACGAGGUUAUAUGUCGGUUUGGAUUUAUAAUAGAGGAUUAUAAUUUAUAUUUCACAAUCAAACAAAAUUAUAUGUCGGUUUGAAUUUACAAAAAACUGAUUAGAGUUUAAAAUUAUAAUUAGACGUGCUUAAGUGAUGGUUUCGACUUUAUAAAAAAGUGAUUAAGGAUUAGAUUUUAUCAUUUUAUUUAUUUUAUUAGUACGUAGAUGCAUGGUACAUUCUGAUCGAUUAGAAAAAGAGGGAGCGAAUAAAAUGAUUCAUCCAAGAAGUGAACUCAAGUAUGAAGAUGCAGUUCCAGAAUAGCUUGAUGUGAAGAUCAGGAAGCUGCAUCUGUUCAGACGCCUGAGAUCACAUCAGACGCCUGGGAUCACAUCAGACACUUGAAGUUGAUGACAUGGAGUCGUAGGAUGACGUGGCAAAGCUUAAGUGGAUGGAGUGACGUGCUAAGGAAGAUUUCUUGCUUGGCAGCAAAGAUAGAGACGAAUUGCGUGUGAAGAUAUUGUGAAUAUUCUUCACAUCAAAUAAGGAAAGGAUGAGCUUGACAAGCAAGCAUAUUCCGUUUCGGUGAGAUCCUCGAAGAUCCUAGGGUUAGGGUUUCGAGUAGUUAGUAUAAAUAGUCUAGGGUUGGCCACGAGCCACUUUGAACACUUUAGACUCUUUGUACGUGAUUGUAAACUUCGAAGCUAGCAAAACAAAAAGCUGAGAAGGUGAGUGUUUAUUUUCUCUUGGGACUACACGGGUGUAGGAGAGAUAGGUUUUAGUGCUCGUUCUUUAGUCGGGUUCAAUUCUAUUGGGAGGAAUAGAUUGAGUAAGAGCCGAGACAAAAUUGUAUCCUAGGAAAAGAUAAAUUUUGUUAAUAAAGAUCGAAGGAAAAAGCGUUUGCUUGGCGCGUUCCAAGCGUAACUGUCUGUGUUUCUCUAUACGUUUUCAAAGUAUUGUUCUUAGAAGAAUUAAUUUGUUUGAUUAGCUAUAACAAAGUAAAAAGACGAAAAAUUCACCAAUCUAAAAUCUUCUAAAAUCCUAGUUUCAAUACACCCCCUAAUUCUUUUGUAUCAAGAUUCACACAAUACCUAAUUAAAGAACAAAAGCAUUUAGGCAUCUCUACAUUAAUAUCGCAUAUGAUAAAUGAUAACCAUUUUGGUUUCCAUUUCAAAUGAAAAUCCGUAACGUUAUAGCAUUCGUCAAUCAUUCUUUUUAGGGGUAUUUUCCAAAUUUAAUUGUGAGAGGGUGUAUUAAAAAUCUACAUGAAGUCACUACAUCCUAGGGCUCCCACAAAGUCAAAUUCUAAAUUACUCGUCGAAACUAAGGGGGUGUAUUCAAAGUAACAUUUUAAGAGAUUUGAGUUUUAUUGAGAUUUCGAUGAUUUUCGGUAACUUCAUAUGAUUUAUGUAAAAUCCUUUCAAAUCCCACCUAAAACUAUGAGAUUUAGAUUCUUAUAUUUUUAAGUAAGGAAGUUAUCUGAAAUCCUCUGAAAUAAUUUAAAAUCAAAUCCACAAACUGUUUUCAAUAACAGUGGAUUUUAAGGUGGAUUUUAAAAUGAUUAGUUCAAUAACACUGGAUUUCAUGAGACUUUUUAAAAUUCAUGAUUGAAUAACACUAGAUUUGUAAACUUUUUACAAAUCACUUGAAAUUCCACUUUAAAUACACUCCCCUAAAUUCUUGUGAUACAACGGUUAGUAUAUAUUUAGAUAAAAAAAAGAUUAUAAAGUUAGACAUUCUUAUAUUGAAGUAAUUAAAUUAGUAAGGAUAAAAUUGUUUUUUAUGUUUUAUAAAAUGUUCUUGUUGAAAAGUAUUGAGCUAAAAGCCAAAAAGAGCAUUUAAAAGUUCGAUAAGCUUUUUGAUAAAACAUGAUUGGAUGUUAAAAGACAUCCAAACUUGACUGAAUACAACAAAGAUAUACCCAAUCUUAAAAACAUCAUGAGAUGCUAUAUAUAGGUGUUCAUAUUUAUGAAAUGUUGAAGUUACAACCAAAUCUUGAAGAUGCUAGAUUGAACCAAUCCGAGAACAUAGAUAAAACUCCUAUCCAAAGAUUUGAACACCGUUUAAAGAUAACCUUUACAAGAGUCAUAAUCGAAAGGUUCUAACUCCUACCAAGAGAUUCGACAAUAGCAAAAUCUUCUAUCAUUACUCAUUAGCGCGAGAGGAUGAACCAUGACAAGUCUUAUGAGAGGGUGCGAAGCGUUGUGACAAUAUGACAAGUUUCGAUUUAAUAUUAAAGAGGCUGAGUAUACCGAAACUCAUAAUCUAGUAUUUUAAAUAAUUUGAGUUUUCAUGAUUUUUUAAAUGAUUUUGAUGAUUUUAGGGAAGCUUGUAAAACCAUUCAAAUCUCAGCUAAAACUCUAAAAUUAUGAAAUAUUUAUUUAUGUAUUUUUAAUUAAAGAAUUCCUCUCAAAUCCUCAUAAUAACAACUACUCAAAUCUGUCAACAAAAAAAAAACUACUCAAAUCUAUAAACUGUUUUUAAUUACUAGUUUUUUUUUUUUGGACAAGAAUUACUAGAUUUUAAAAUAUACUUCUUAAUUAUUAGUUCAGUAACAUUGGAUUAUUUAGAUUUUUAAAUUCAUUAUUGAAUAACAUAAGAUUUCAUAAAUUUUACACAAAUAACUUAAAAUAUUUUAUUGAAUACACUUUUUAAAAGUUAAUUGGAACCAAUGAAGACCAACUAUAGACCAAAGAUCUUGUUAGAGGGAAGUAUCUGUUAGAUUUAAGUAGAUGAAACAUCGCCAAAGAUUAUAACGACAUCACUUGGUUAUUGCUGUUGGGUUCUUUAACCCAAGUCAACUUUCCAUUAGUAUGAUAUUGUCCGCUUUGGGCCUAUAACUCAAGCCCGCACGGAUUUGUUGGGCUCCUUCCCAAAAGGUCUCAUAAUAAUUGGAGUUGGACUUGACUUAUAUAUUUGAAACUUAUCUUUCUAAUCUUCCGGUGUGGGAUAUUGGUUUGUAUUCCAAUACUCCCCCUCAAACCAUAUCCAGGUUCACAAUCUUGACCUAGGCUCUGAUACCAAUUGUUGGGUUCUUUAACCAAAGUCAACUUUCCAUUAGUAUGAUAUUGUCCGCUUUGGACCUAUAACUCAAGCCCGCACGGAUUUGUUGGGCUCCUUCCCAAAAGGCCUCAUACUAAUUGGAGUUGGACUUGACUUAUAUAUUAGAAACUUCUCUUUCUAAUCUUCCGAUGUGGGAUAUUGGUUUGUAUUCCAAUAAUUGCGGUGGUCGGGAGUGAGAGAGUGACAACAACACCAAAUAGAAACAUGCCUAAACACAGGGUGUGAAUGGUUACAGCGGUUUGAGCGGACAAAAUAAUUUAUGGAUCGAACCGCUUUUUAUUUACCAUUCACUAAUUGUGUCCGUAGUGGUGCGGUUUUAAAGGAAACAAAAGAAAACCCGCUGUAAACCAAGUGCAGACCGUUUUUAUGUACAAAUAAAGCUGGACCAUUGCGGUUUGUUGUCCACCCUAAAAAUAGAGUGGACUAAACUCCUGACAGAUUUGUCCAUUCCAACCGCUGUAAUCAUUCACACCCAUAGAAGCUACAAACAGAGGGUUCCUAAUGUUGGUGAAUCGUGGCUUUACCAAUACAAGAUAUCGUGUUGAUCUUGAAUGCCUUGAUAAUUGUUCUUGAGAGAGAGAGAGAGAGAGAGAAGUGAACCGGAAUGUAUUUGAUUGUAUCUACAAUGAAAUCUAUUAUAGUAAAUGAAUCGACAAUGAGUAGAGAGAUUUAUUUAUUAUAUAUUAGUCUAAAAUUUAUCAAAAUCUCGAUGUAGAAAAAUUCUAAUACACAUUCAUGAUCGAUAUCUAAAAGUGAAAUUUCUUAGUCUGGUUUUUUUUUUGGCAGCAUGUUGAAGAGAAAUUAAAGAGAAAAGCUUCUACAACUGAAUCUUGUUUUGAUGGGUUGUUAUGGAGCAGUUUCUGUUUCCCAAAUUUCCUCUUAUGAUGAGUGGUUUGGAUCUUAUUGCCGGUCUUUUCUGCCUCUAUUGCAAAGAUUUUAACACCUCAUUUUGUAUAUUGAUUCUUUAGGUUCUUUGGUUAUGAUAUAUCUCCUUUUUUAUCAUGUGGUGGUAUUUUGAUCCUAUGUUACCUUAGUUUGUAUAUUUUUGUUCUUGUUAAUUGUAAUUUCUCUUCUUGGUAGAGUUUGUAGAAAUAUAAAAUUAGAAAAUAAAAAGAUAUACAAUAAUUGCAAUUUCCUAAAAAUAUUUAUUUUGGUAAUGAUUUCCUUGUAAGAUUUAAGCUGCAUCUUUCUUAUCUUUUGAGCCAAAUUUUUUUUUUGGUAUCAAAAAAGUAGAAGAAUUAUUUUUUUAAUUAGUGGAUUCUAUUCAGGUUUAUUGCUGAUAUCCAAAAUAGAAAAAUUAUUUCAUGAUUUGACCUUUACAUUGGACGAUUGAUUUUAUCUUGAUUGAACAUACAAAAGACAAAACCAAAAGUCACCCAAUUUAUAUCAUGUUUUCAGUUUCAAUCUUUAGGUUUUGCAUGGAAAAUUGAAUCAUUGUGACUUUUGUUAGAGACUAAAAUAUUUAAUCACAAAUUUGUGACUUCGUAGAUACAAUUUCGUAACAUUUUUUUGACAUAAAUUCAUAAUUGUUUCGUCAUAAUAUUAUAAGGAACAAAGUCGUCCCUAAGUAUUGUCUCAAAUCGUGAUGAAAUAGUGUCGAUAAUACUUAGGGACGACUUUAUUCCUUAUAAAGUAAAUGAAAAUUUGAACUUAAAGCUAAACAUCCAUCUUAAGCUUGAUUCAGGUGUAUCCAACUCAUAUUUACCACUUAGUCCCUGCUUAAACAACAUGAUUAUCAAUUGAUAAUACACCAAAAGGGGCAUUUCUCAAAAAUUCUCUUCUUUUAGUACAAUAGAUAGAAUAUCGAAUUUCACCAAAACAAAAUAGAUAGAAUAUUGAACAUUAUAUUGUUUUUUUAUAUAGAAAAUCAAGUAUAAAUUUUGAAGUUAAUAAUAACUAUACUGAUCUUUAUAUCAUUAUAUGUUGAAUCACAAACUAAGUAUAAUAAUUAUUAUUGUAAAAAAUGUAUUACAAUUUUUUUGGAGGUAAGAAAGAGUUAAGAAUAAUUGAUUUGAUAGACAAAAAUUUCAUUUGUUAAAAAAUUACAUACUUUCUAAAUAAAAUAAAUAUACAUGGAUAUGUAAGAAAUAAACAAACAUCCAAACUAAAGAAUGAAGAUGCUUUCUUUAGCUUGAUUUUCUUAUUGUGCGAUGGUCGGAAAUCAAUAUUUUUGAAUCUCCAUCGAUAAUAUCAUUUUAUUAUAGCUAGAAAAUAUCAUUAGUAUGUAUUAUUUAUUUAAAUAUAUAAGAAAACAAUGAAGAAAGAAAGAAAUACAUAAAAACAAAAAAAACUUGAAAAAGUAAAAUAUAGUUAAACCAAAUAUAUAAUCAAUCUCUUACAAUGAUAUCUUAAUUGAGUUUUCAACACAUGCAAGAACAUUAAAAACUAAAAAAAAAAGAAAAUAUUGAGGGUAUGAGAUGUGGUGGAGGAGGAUGUGAGAAUGGUUAUUUAUAGGAUAAAAAGUGAUGUAAGUUACAUUUCUAAAAUAAUUAAAUUAGAGGAGUUAUAAUAAUAAUUUAUUGUGUGUUAAUUAAAACUAAAUAGAGUAAACAAAAAGUCAAUUCACAAUUUAUAUUAUUUCAGUUACAAUUCAGUAGUAAAAUGUAGAUUUAAAAUAUGAAUUUAAAAUAUAUAAUUAAAUGUAUUAAAUAUUUGGUUUAAUUAAAAAUAAAUAUUAUAAUUAAAAAAUAAAUACUAAACGUACCAAUAAGAAGAGAGUGAAGUCUUACUUAUAUAUACAUGAUUCAUUUAAACUACGUUGGGUAUAAUUGUUGGUCGAACUUAUUUUAUUUUUUGUAUACGUCUCAAUGAGAAUCUAAACAAAUAUCGGUUUUAUAAGAGAUGAAUAGUGCAUAUUAUUCUCUAUACUACUGUGUUUGUUGAACACAUGUAACGCUCUAAUUGUAUAUACUACAAGAAAAUAGCGAAUUAGCGACUACAAAGGAAGUCACUAAACAAUCGCUAAACCCUCCUUUUAUUCAGGUUUCGCUAAACAAUUUUGUAAUCUCAUAAAUAACAAUUGUAUUUGUAUCUCAUGUCAAACUAGUUUUAAAAUUAUAAAAUAAAAUAUAAAUAGUUAUAUACAAAAAGUUGAUACGUGUUAUUAUCUGAUCGAUAGAUGAGACAUGUGUCACUAUUAUUUAAAUAACUAGUUUUUAAACCAAAUUUUAUAUGAUAAAAUAUUUAAAAUUCAGAAAUGAAUUAAUUUUUGGCUCAAUGUUUUCUUUCUUUUACUUGUAUCUAGUGUUUACCAGAAACCUAAAAUAGAAAAUUAAUUGCCGUAAACUAAAAAUCAUUUGACCUUGAUUGAAUGACAGAACAAAAAGCUAUGCAUGCUUUCAUGUCAGUGUAUUCAUUUCAUGUCCAAAGUAUUAAAAUAUUUUAUUUCCCAUCACAAUGAAAUAUUAAAGAUAUCAAUCUUAUCUCUUAAACAUCAUUUGUAGAAGGUGCUCAUAAAAUGAUUUGUCAAUAAUUAUAUGAUUUGCUAUAGCUUUAUCAUAAAAACUUGGAACUUUAGUGAUUUGUCAAACCACUGAUUGUCAUACUCAUUCUCGUAAAUGAUUCAAAGAUUUUUUUUUGGUGUCCUAAAAAUAAUGAGUUUUUUUUUUGUAAUUAGUGUUUUUCUUUUCUUUACAAAGCUAAAUAAAAGACCGAUUAGAAUCGCAUUAGAACUGAACCAUAAUUGUUAGUUGUUACUUAUGAAUAACAUUGGAAAUCAAUUCCUAAAUCUGGUAUGAAUGUUAACCGUGUAAAUGUUUUAUUCUCCUCAUAUAUAUAUCCUAAUAUUAUUUGAUCAACACAUAGAUUUGUUUUGAAUAAUAUGUAAACUAUAUGAGAGAUAUCCUAAAAUAGCAGUAAAACAAGUUUUAUAGAUAAUUAUAUCACACACUCCUCAAACUUAUAGUAUAAUACUAAUUACCAGUACAACAUAAUAUUCUCAAUUUUUUUAAAACAUUUUCAGGUUUGAAUUAACUAUUUUAUAUUUACGAUAUGGUUUUUAGAGGUAGAAUUAGAGUUUAGAAUUUAGAAUUAAGUUUGAAAUUUUAAUUAUAAAAUAUAGUGCCAUUUUUGAAACUUUAGAUAACGAAUGCUAAAUUUAAAAAUAUUUUUUUUUUGCGCUACUUAUGAGAUUUGCGCAAACUGAAACCAUUAAUAUAUGUUUAUUACUUGACUUGGUCUCAGUUCGGUAUGAUUUUCGUUUUGGUGGGGGUUCGGCAAAAAUAUAAACCUCGACGGCCAUUCAAUCGCUAGCUAGUUCACCUUAAUCCGUCCUCUUUCACCGUCCGACUUAACUUAUAAAUAACUCAUAAUUUUCAGAUUUUGGUUUGCCUACAAAAAAAAAAAAAAAAAAAAAAAGUGGUCGAACACAAUCCCUAAUUUGAUGGACUAUGAAUCAUAAAUGCCUGGGAGCAACCCAAUCCCUAAAGAAAAAUUAGCUAGCUUUUGAGAACGACUCAAAUCUAUUAAAUUGCAAUAUGAUUUUAGGUUUUAUUUAGAGAUAUUAGUAUAUUACAUUACUCAUAUACUAGAGGACUCAUCACGCACAUACAAUAAAGCCAAGCAAAAGAGUCCCUCCUUAAUCAUUUCAACGAAGAACUGGAUCGGAGCAGUCUCUCUGGGUGAACCACCUUCUCAUGAAUCAUCUCACACUUCAUGUUCCACUUCACCACACUCCCAACCCCUCCAUGCUUAGGAACAGAGUAAGUAUAAAAAUUGGCAAGUGUUAUUAUAUGAUCGAUAGGCGUGACAUACGUCGUCACUAUUAUGUAAAAAAUAAAUUUUAUAUAAUAAGAUAUUCUGAAAUGAUUUAAUUUUUGGCCAAUGUUUUCUUUCUUUUACUUGUAUCUAGUGUUUACCAGAAACCUAAAAUAGAAAAUUAUUUACACUAAACUAAAAAUCAUUUGACCUUUGAUUGAAUGAGAACAAAAAUCAUUAUUGUCGUGCGUGGUUCCUUUUCAAUCUCUAGCUUUUGAUAGUAUUCAUUUCAUCUCCAAAGUAUUUAAAUAUUUUAUUUCCCAUCACAAUCAAAAUCUAAAGAUAACAAUCUUAUCUCUUAAACAUCAUUUGUAGAAGCUAAGUACUCAUGGGUUUGUCAAUAAUUACAUGAUUUGCUAUAGCUUUAUCAUAAAAACUUGGAACUUUAGUGGCUGACGUUUAUUAUGUUCCGCCAAAACAAAUAUUUUUUCUGGUGUCCUAAAAAUAAUGAUAUUCUUUGUAAUUAGUUUUGUUAUCUUACUAAAGCCAAAUAACAUCGAGUGCGUAUGUUAAUCUUUUAAUUUUUGUGACUGUUCUAUCAUAUAUAUAAUAUAUAUAUAUAGGACCCAUUAGAAUAUUCUAAAAAAAAUUCAAUAACUUUGUUCGCCAAACUGAACCAUAAUUGUAUUUCCUAUAUAUAUAUAUAUAUAUUCUCUUAUUAGUUAUUACUUAUGAAUAACCAUUGAAAUCAAUUCCUAAAUCUUGUAUGAAUGUUAACCGUGUGAAUGUUUUAUUCUAAUCUUAUAUCCUAAAAUUAUUUGAUAAAUAAAUAUUUUUUUGAAUAAUCUGUAAAUUAUUAUAUGAGAGAUAUCCUAAGGUAGCAGUAAAAAAAGUUUUAUAGACAUUUAUAUCAUACACUCCUCAAACCUAUAAUAUAUCAUACUACAGUAUUCUUAAUUUUCUUAAAAACAUUUUCAGGUUUGGAUUGACUAUUUUAGAUUUACGAAAUGGUUUUUAAGGGUAGGAUUAGAGUUUAGAGUUUAAUUUAAUUUAAUUUUUAUUUUAAAAUACAGUGUUAUUUUUGAAGCUUUGAAGAUUAUAGGCUAAACUUAGAAAUAAAAUUGGUUUUCGCGCUAUUUAUGAGAUUUGCGCAAACUGAAGCCAUAAAAAUCUGUUUGUAACUCAACUCGGCCAAAAAUAUAAACCUCGAAAGCCGUUCAAUUGCUGGCUAGUUCACCUUAGUCGGUCAUGUUUCACCGUCCGAUUUAACUUAUAAAUGAUUCAUAAUUUUAAGAUUUUGGUUUGGUUACAAAAAGAAAAAAAAAUGGUUCCCGCUUGUUUUGGUUUCCUCGAUAUUACAAUAAUGAAUGAUAUAACACUUCUGAAAAAUCCUUGUGAUUCCAAUCCUUUUGUUAGAGUCAUUGCUGCGGGGAAAUAGCAAAAAAAUCAACCCAGACUAUUUGUUGGCGGUAUUUUCAUACCCAAACUAUAAUAUCCGACAAAUAGCAACCUAAACUCUCAAAAAUUCAAAUUCUCAACCUAAAUUAUAUGAAAUCAACCAAAAUCAACAUAUACCGAAACGAUAUUAGUUAACCACUUAACAGCGAUGAGUCAACCGACACCGUCUCAAUGACAUGACAUCGGAGUUGAGUAAAAUGACGUUGUUUCGUGAGUUUAGGGUUCUCAAAUUGAAGAUUCGAUGAGUGUUUGCUUUUAGCAAUACUUUGAUUCGAGAAUCCUAAACUCAAGAAACGACGUCAUAUUUACUCACCUCUGAUGUUCCGUCAUUGCCUCGGUGUCGGUUGACUCAUCGCCGUUAACUAACACUGUUUCAGUAUAUGUUGAUUUUGGCUGGUUUCAUAUAGUUUAGGUUGGGCAUUUAAAUUUUUUGUGAGUUCGGGGUGUUAUUUACUGAUGCAUGAGAGCAACCAAUCCCUAAAAAAAAAUAAGCUAGCUUUUGAUGACGACUCAAAUCUAUAGAAUUGCAAAACGAUUUAAUCUAAGGGAUAUUAAGGUUUUAGGUUUUAUUUAGAGAUAUUACAUUACUGAGAAAGACAUACAAUACACAAGAGGACUCGUCACACACACAAUAACACUCAAGCCAAGCAAAAGAGUCCCUUAUUAUUCCUCACACAAGAGGUAUUGGUCAACCUCCUUAAUCAUUUCAACGAAGAACUGGAGCAGCCUCUCUGGAUGAGGCACCUUCUCAUGAAUCCUCUCAUACUUCAUGUUCCACUUCACCACACUCCCAAUCCCUCCAUGCUUAGGGCUCACCUUCAUCGUUUUCAAGAAGCUCUUGUACUCUUUCUUCAAAGGUCCCUCUAAAACCCUCCAUUGAAUCAUAUUCUUCUCCAUAUCCAUCACCUCGAUCCGAUCCUUCGACACUCUUGGCUCUCCAUCUGCACCAAAAGGCGUUUAUAUAUAAACCAUACUGAAAAGUUUAUCUUCUUGCCUAAAAUUAUAUGUAAUUUUCAUUACCAACUAUUAACUUCCACAAGAGUAUGCUUCCAACUUUGUCCCACUCUCCUUCGAGCAGAUCACAUCCCUGAAUGUAACGAGUGGCUUUGGAGACGUGUUGCGGUCUUCUCGCGAACAUGUGAAACUUAGAAGCCGUAGUUUUGAUCUCUACUUCAGCUUCAAUCUCCUCCUCUGCCAUUUUUUCGCUGCUUUGUUUCUCUAUGUCCAUGCAUGGACUUAAGUGAAUUGCAAUUAGAAUGAAUGAUUUACUUUGAGUUCGUAGCUCCUUUUAUAAAGAGGAUGGAGUGAGAUGUGAUUAAUGACUCAGCUUUUUUUUUCUUUUUCUUUUUUUUUUUCUUAAAAAUUAAAAGAUUGAAGACUGCAAGGUGAAAUUCUAAGCAAAAUAAAUUUAAAUAUAAAAAAGUACAAAUAAAAAUUUGGAAUUUUUUUCCCUCAACAGAUUUGUAAAGUUAGGAUAUUAAAUUAUCUAGUAUUGAGAAGGAUGAGUAUUGGGAUCUCUCUCUCUCUCUAUUGGUUUCAUUUCUUGGUUUAAUAAUAACAAUUAGGUUAAAACUUGCGCUAUGUCACGAGGUUGUUGUUAAAACAAAAGCUUCAUCAUCAAUUGACAUCGUACCAAAUCAACACAGAACUUCAACCUCGUCCCAAAUUUCCUUUCAAACCGCACAUAUCGAGAGCUAUUGAAGCCACAUAAUAUGUACAUCAAACUUCCCAGCCAUAACAUCUAAAUCACUUUGCAUGAGAAACUUCUCACUGUAGGAAUUAGGCAAGGUUCACAAGAAAUAUUAGAAUGGGUGAGAUUAAGCCAGAGAGAGAUGGGUCGAAUCCAGAAUUGAGAUUCUCUAAAACAGCGAGACCAGAGUAAAGCUCUUCGAGCUUGGUUCUUAUGAGUUGCAAGGUCGUGGUCCUUACACCGGAGUCUGUCGAUGGUCAUUGGACCGAUCAAUCUACUGUGCUCUCAAUCAUAGAUUGUUCAAUUUUGGCUUUGUCGAUUGGGGUGUUUAAUUUUACGGUUUGUUGUGUUCAGUUUUGAAAUCGGGUUGAAAUAAGGUUUAGUUUGGUUAAUAGAAUUCUUUAGUUGGUUAAGAAAAUAUUAAACCAACAAUAAACCUCAUCAACUUUGAUUAAUGGGGCAAUAGAUGAUAUUCGAUACUUUGAGGAGGAAAUAGCAAUAGAACUUUGGAUUUGGGUGGAAAUAAGUUUAGAAUUAUCGAUUCCGGGAUAUAUUUAACGAGGUUGAAGUUCUACGUAGAUCUGAUAUGAUGCCAUACUUCUCGGUGAGAAAUAGGACGUCGAUCCUCAAUAACCUAAAGAAAAUUUCAAGACUUUCUUCCAAAAAAUUUCAAACAUACACAAGAACUUUUCAACUUUUUUUUCUCCAGUUUAAUACUUGUGUAAGUAUUUUUAUAAUUAAUAUUUUUCUUGAUAAAAUAAAUUUUUUUAUUGUGUUGUGUAACGCCCGUGUUCUGGAAAAUAAUAGGAGACUUGAGUGUGUAUAAGAAGUUUAAUUCCGGUUGAUUUCCUAGGAGACUUGAGGGUGGAGUCGGUUUAAUUCCGGUUGAUUUCCUAAACUGGUCGAUUUGUCAAUUGAAUCAAAAGAAGUUUAAUUAAUGUUGGUUUAGUUAAAUCCUGGUUUAAUCAGAUUAAACCAAAAACCCUAUUUUUAUAAGGAACGCCUCUUCUCUCUUUUGUUUUGUCACUGCUUGUUUCUGAGAAUUUAGUUUGAGAAAAUGAGAAUGAGAAGUUCACUUGUGAAAAGGAGAGGGUUAGCUUUGCUUUGGUGUUUAAGGCAAGGGAAGCAGAUUCGUCACGUCUUGGUAUAAUAGAGUUACGACGUAUCAAAUCUUAUCGAAAGGUAACGAAAUUUGGUAGGUUUGCUAUUAAGGCGUGUAGGUUGAUUUUCCUUUUUACAGAAGUGAAUUACGAUUUAAAAUCAGUGAGUUUUAUGCAGUUUGGUGAGACGCUUCUUCUCUAUUGCGAUCUAGGAUCAGCGGAGUUUGUAAGUGCGAUCGUGGUUUCAUCGUUUCUUUGAUCGGCAGUUUUGUGGGAAGCUUAGUGACGUCUAGGUCUUGCUUUCAACCGAAGGGAUUCAGAAGUUAACGGUUGGUUUCUGGUUUAGGGCUUCGUUUCGGCGGCUGUAAUUUUUCUGUUGUUUCUGUCCAUUUUGGUUUACAGAGAUUUUGUUUCUGUGGAUUGUUGUAGGGCGUUGUUUGGCUGUUGCAGUCGCGAACAGAGUCUUUUCUGGUUGUAUUCGUUAUUCAAAUCACCUUGUUAAGGUGAGUGCGUGACCAUGAGCUUAUCUAAGCGAUUGAGAUUGAGGGACCUGUUUAUGAUGAUUUGUAGGUGAAUUGGAAGUAUUAUUGGAUGUUUAGCUUGCAGAAUGGUUUGUUUAUGUUAUAUUUGUGGGUGUUAUCUCAUUGCUUGUGUGUAUAGCUCGUAGAUGGGAAGAUCGCCCUCACUAAGUAUUUAUGAAACACUUAUGCAUCUCAUUGUGUUUGUGGUGCAGGUAAAGUGUGACGUGGAAUCAUGGCGAGGACAGGAGGAUGAUCUAGGGGCUCGUUGGUGUUCUUGAAUUAUUGUUGGAAUUUUUAGGUUAUUAGACUGGAAUUUAGAAGCAUGAUAGGGUGAUUGUGUUUCUGAAAUAGUUGUUGAUUGGUUUGGUUUAAUGGAAUUGUUUGGUUUAAUUUAUUAUUAUUAAUUAGGGUCGGUUUAGCUGGUUUAGUGGUUUAAAUUGAUUAGGAUCGGUUUAACUGGUUUUGAAUUUAUUGGGUUAAUCCGGUUUGCAUGUUAAAAGAAAAAAAUGGGAUGGAUUCUUUCAAUUUGGUAUCAGAGCCCUUACGGUUCUAGGUGAUGAUUUGUAGGUGAACUGGAAGUGUUAUUGGAUGUUUAGCUUGCUGGAUGGUUUGUUUAUGUUAUAUAUGUUGAUGUUAUCUCAUUGCUUGUUUGUAUAGCUCGUAGAUGGGAGGAUCGCCCUCACUAAGUAUUUAUGAAAUACUUAUGAAUCUCUUUCUGUGAUGCAGGUAAAGAAAAAGUGUGAUCCGUGGAAUCAUGGCGAGGAGAGGAGAAUGAUCUAGGGGCUCGUUGGUGUUCUUGAAUUAUUGUUGGAAUUGUUUGGUUUAAUUGAUUUAAAUUAAUUAGGGCCGGUUUAGCUGGUUUGAGUUGAUUAGGUUAAUCCGGUUUGCAUGUUAAAAGAAAAAACGGGAUGGGUUCUUUCAAUUUGGUAUCAGAGCCCUUACGGUUCUAGGGCGAGAGUAAACUGGUGAUUUUUUUUAAUGUGAUGUGUGAAUUUUGUUUAUGAGAAAUGAUGAUGUGGAUUGCAUGCUGAUUGAUUUGUGUGUUUAAUCAAUUGUGUGAACAUGAAUUCCUAGAUCAUCCUCUUGAGCCUUUAAUUAGAUUCCACGGUAAGUUGUGAUGUUUUGUCUUUUCCAUGGAAGGGCGGGUUGUGAUGUUGUGGAGGUCAGUUGGUAACAGCUUCCAUGGUGGGAAGGUUGUUAAAGGGUGAGGUCUUGGGUUCGAGGAACGCCAAGCGCACCAAUAACUUACCUGGUGGGCCAGAGAGCUGCGGGCCAGAAGACUACGCAGAUUGGGCCCACAUGAGAGAGGUUAGGGUCGAUGCGCUGCAGCGCUGUAAGAUUCCCAUGUGGCGGGGUGUGCCAUGUGGCGGAGUGUCCCACUGGACAAGUUGUUACAUUAAAAGUCGACUUUUAUGUAACAACCGGCCCCGUGGGACACUCCGCCACAUGGCACACUCCACCACAUGGCAACCUUACAGCGCUGUAGCACAUCGACCCUAACCUCUCUCCUAUGGGCCCAAUCUGGCAUGUAGGCUCUCUUGUGGCCCACAUGCCCUCAUGGCCACCAGGUAUCUUUAUAUAUAAAUUAGCAUUUUCACAUUUGAAAAUAAACAAAAAAUGAAAAAUAGACCUAAAGUUAUUUUCGGUCACCUAUUCGACUACUUUACAAUAAAAAUGGGCCCCAUAAUUUUAGAAUAGUUUUUAAGAAGUAAACGGCCUUUGCGCCGCUGCCCCUUUAUCCAACCUAGUUGAGCGAGACAUGUAUAUACUUCUUGCUGUAGCGUUUUUCUCGUAGACCUAUAUUUAUAGAACAUAAAGUUUUUUGUGAUUGUCAAAAAGAAGUUUACAAUUGGUGGAUCUUCCAUAUAUAUUAAUAAAUUUUUAUUUUGACACACAAAUAUUUUUAUAUAGAUUGGUGCAUGUAUAUGGAUCUUCACAUAAACUAAAUAAUAUUUUUAGUCGAACUAAAGAGAUUUUCUUCUUAAUUAUUUUAUUUUUUCAAAAGCAAGGUUGACUCUGAUCAUAUACCAUAUCAAAUUACGCUAAAGAAUCGGGUUCAGAGAAUAGCUAAGACAUUUUGUUUGAAAUAAAAUGGUUUAUUAUUAUAUAUAUUUUUUAAUAACUAUUGAUGUACUCAGCUCUGGCUCAAGAAAUUAGAAUCCCCUUGGGCGAAAAAUGUUUUUGGCCUUUUAUCUAAUUUAUGCUAAAGAAAUUCAAUUUUUGGGCCUAUAAAACAUGAUUUUUAAGAUAUCUUUAUAUAUAAAUUAGCAUUUUCACAUUUGAAAAAAACAAAAAAUGAAAAAUAGACCUAAAGUUAUUUUCGGUCACCUAUUCGACUACUUUACAAUAAAAAUGGGUCCCAUAAUCUUAGAAUAGUUUUUAGAAGUAAACGGCCUUUGCACCGCUGCCCCCUUGUCCAACCUAAUUGAGCCAGACCUGUAUAUACUUCUUGAUGUAGCGUUUCUCAUGCCAACGGGACUAAUGGCCAUAACCACCUUAUCAACUUCAUUUAUUCUUGUGACUAUGACCAACUUGUCUACCAUCUCCCAUCGUGGAAAUCUGUUAGACAAACUUUGAUAUCACAUGUGUUAACUAGCUUAUUAGCGUUUGCUUCAAAGCUCUCUUGGGUUAUUUUUUAACUCAUAUUAUCUAUCUUGAGAUGCCUUGCUUCUUUUUGUUCUUAAACUUUGGAUUUAUGUAUCCUUCUCUUUGUACUAAUAUUUAUGAUUUAUGAAUCAAGUUUUUGGCCCAAAAAUUUUUUUUAAAUAUAUUAGAAUCUAAUCUUAAAAUUGCAAAUAACGACUUGGUACUUUGCUAUACUAUCGCAAGGAGAAACUUUAUCAUAAUACCAUCCAAAAAAUAACAAAACUGAUAAUUGGUUUCGAUUUUAUAAUAGGUAAAAUCAUUUGUAAACGUAACAAAUAGUUCACCUUAAGGAAUUUCUUUUUGCAUUUUCUUUAUCUUUAAUUGUUACCAAACCUAAAUCCAAACAAAUUUUAACAACUGAAAUCAUAUAUACCUCCUCAUUUUCUCCGCUUUAAACAACUGAAAUCGCAAUAAAAGAACUGUAUGGUGAUUGUAGUUCAGACUUUUGAUUAAGAAACUAUAAUUGUUAAACAAUUUUAUACUUUCUCAUUUAAUUUAUAUUUGUAGCAAAACAACAAAAGAAAGAAAAAAACGUAUGAAUGCAAAUACAAGACUGGUUUCUAUGACUUGGUGCAACAACAUUUUUUUCCGAAAGAAGUAGCACAUCUCCCAUAUGUGAACCCAGCCUUCCUACAAUCCGCCGCACAUUUACAAUCACCUUAUGUCGGCGAACAAGUGUUCUUGCACAUAUCAUCAAUUCUCCCAGAAGGUUUGAUCUCUGCAUGUCCACAAAGUCACCACAUAUGAAUAUCAUAUAUAAUCAUAUCGACGUUCUUGCUUUGAAACGAUGAAACCUAAUCAGAAAACAUUACCAGAAGCCAAGAUUUUCUAACUGGACAAAGAAGCUGCAAUUAUAAUCAAGAGUAAGAAAGUCAUCAAAGUCUUGGUGUUGCCCAUUUUCUUGCUUGAAGUAUCAAACUAUAAAGUCUAUUUACAAAAUAUAUUAUGUGAGUUUCUAGAUUAUAAGUAGAACCUAUAUUUAUAGAACAUUAAGGUUUUUGUGAUUGUCAACAAAAAGUUUACAAUUGAUGGAUCUUCCAUAUAUAUUAAUAAAUUUGAAUUUUGACUAACAAAUAUUUAUAUAUAUAUACAUUGGUGCAUGUAUAUGGAUCUUCCUAUAUAAUAAAUAUUAUUUUUACUCUGAGCAAAGAGAUUUUUUUCUUGAUUAUUUUUUGUUUUCAAAAACAACGUUGACCCGGAUCAUAUAUAAUAUCGAAUUAGGUUAAAGAACCGUGUUCAGAGAAUAGCUAAGAUAUUUUGUUUAAAAUUAAAUGGUUUCUUAGUUAUGAUUUAUUUUCUUUUUUGACAACUCUUGAUGUGCGAAUUCUGGCUUAUGUACUCAGCCAUGGCUCAAUAAAUUAGAAUGCCCUUGGGAACAAAAUGGUUUUGACCUUUUCUCUAAUUUAUGCUAAAGAAAUUCAAAUAUUUGUGUCCAUAAAACAUGUCUUAAAGAUAUUUUUAUACACAAAUUGGAAUUUCCACAUUUGAAAAGAAAAAAAAUUAAAAAUGGACCUAAUGAUUUUUUUGGUCACCUAUUAUACUACUUUACAAUAUUAUUGGUCCCUAUAAUCUUAGAAUAGUUCUUAAAAAUUAAACGGGCUUUACGCUGUUACCC
rnacentral:lncRNA from 1 species